rnacentral:lncRNA from 1 species
AGUGUGUCCUAACGAUGCAGAUGUUUCGAUUUAACCGGCCGAAUCCAGGCUCUGAGUUAAAACCAAUAAAACUCUGAAGAAAGAAAGGAAUGCAGUUAAGACUUUUAAUUAACACACCCGAAACCGAUCGAUCUUCGCCCAAGCAAGAGCAGCCGGCGAGAAAGAAAGAAAAAUCGAUCGAUCAGGAGGAUGCGUGGGUUUCUCAGACUUGGAUGAAGGAAUGGCAUGGCACCCCCAUGAGCUGCGCGAGGGUGGUGGACCGGAGCUUCCUCUCGGUGACGGCGGGGUCCUCCAGGAGUAGCACCUUGUCCUUGUCCUGGACGCCGGCCAUGUGCAGGUGGUCGCCGUCGUCCCGCUCCCGGCCACGGUACAGCAGCCGCUGCUCUCUGGGCCACAGGCUGGUGGCCAGCGACAGCAGCACCUUGAGGUCGCCGAAGGUGGCGGUGGCGUCGAUGGACACGUCGUGCUGCCACCCGCCGCAGCCGGCGGAUACUCUCACCAGGAUGGCCUCGACGGCGUCGUCGCAGCCGUCGUCGUCGGGCGCCCGGCGCUUCUGCAACAGCAUCCCGCCCGGGCGCACCUCCCACUCGAUCCUCUCGUGCUCGGCCACCAUGGCGCACAUGUCCACCCCGCCGCCGAUGCCCACCGUGCUCUUGGACCGGCUCCUGAACAGCCUCCUCGGGCUCGGGAUCUUCACCAUCUCCUCCUCUGCCGCGCUCUCUCUGUUUCUCUGCCGCGUGAUGAUGGAUGAUCACUGGAUGGAUGGAUGGAGUUGUGGUGCGUGAGGCUUGAUGGAGUUGGAGAGAUGGUUGGGAUUUUAAAGGGGGAGAAGGUGCCGAGGAUGAGGACAGGGUCGGCAGUGGCGACAGAGAGGGACGAGAGCCGUGCGCGGGCGCGAAAAGGGAGAAUUAAGAUAUGGAUGGUGACUAGGCGAAGCUUAGCAGGAAUAGCAGGAACAGAUUAGAGUUAAUCGAGUGUUGUAUACGCUGAGUCGCCGCGGGUGAGGGGACACCUGUCUGCUCUUUGUCAAGACGGCUGGAUCGGCAGCACAUGGGGAGGUGGCAACGCGGUCUCUGCAUCUGCAUGAAUGGCGGGGCCGACGGAAUCGCCUCACCGGCUGCAGGUUAGUUACUUUGUCGUUCCGUCCCAUUUCUUUAGAGCAACUCCAACGGCGGCCGACCCAAACAAAUAGUGAUUUUGUCCAUUUAGGUCGACCACCCGUCCAGCGUCCGCCCUAUUUUACAUUUGGGUUGGUAGUGCGCCUAACGCACCGACCCAUUUCAUGUUCGCACAUAAUUUUUUAAAAAGGCCUGCGGUCAUAGAUCAUGCUAGCGGCCAUGUCUCAGGCCGGCAUCGUGCCAGCGCCGACAUACAAUGCCGGCUUCAAAAUAACACCACACAGUUCAUGCUGGCGCUCUCGCCAGCGGCCGGCACAUAUGCCAGCACACAAAAAAGGGGUGGGACUUGAGUUCGACCACGCCAUCGCGGCCCCGUGGUCAUGCCAGCACACCUGCCGGCAUACAAAAAAGGAUGGCACUCGCCGUCAUAAAUCACUCGUCGUCGAACUUGAGCAUAUCAGCCUGCACGGCCUCUCCCUUGGCGACACGGUAUUGAGAUCCACCUUCAUGAUCUCUACCCCGGUCAUCAUGCUAGUGAGAGCCACUUCUUUCGCCUUGGUCUUGGCGUUGGCGGCCUUGAUCUCUAGCAUCUUGGCUUGCUUCUCCGCCUCCAUCUCAAGCAUCUUGGCUUGCUUCGCCGCGUCCAUCUCAAGCCUCCUCCGUUGGAUCUCCAUGAAGGCGUUCAUUUGCUCUUCUUUGUAACGCCAGCGCUCCUCCUCCCUUGAGUCCUUCUUGCUCAUCAUGCCCUCCACGCUUGCGGCCGCAUCCCGCUUGUCCUUCUUCUUGGAGUUGGUCUUCCCACGCGGCCGUGCCUUCUCGCCGUCCCCAACCUCCUCCACGGCUUGCUUCCCCCCACGCGACUUGAGGGCGGCAUAUUGCGCCUUGAACUUCUCCUCGUCUUUGAUGACCCUAAAGCAAUGGGAGAGGUUGAAGCACUUGCCAUUGUGUUGGUCCGUGAAUGCCUCCAAAGCUUGAAAUGCCUACAAAUGUAUUUCAUGUAAGCAUAUUGGCAAAUGGUAUGCAAAUGAACACGCAAGCAUAAACGGAAUGACACAAAUGAAGGAAAUAUGCCCUAGAGACGAUAAUAAAGUAUUAUAUAUUUCCUUAUAUCAUGAUAAGUGUUUAUUAUUCAUGCUAGAAUUGUAUUAACCGCAAACAUAAUACAUGUGUGAAUACAUAGACAAACAGAGUGUCACUAGUAUGCCUCUACUUGACUAGCUCGUUAAUCAAAGAUGGUUAUGUUUCCUAGCCAUAGACAUGAGUUGUCAUUUGAUUAACGAGAUCACCUCAUUAGGAGAAUGACGUGAUUGACUUGACCCAUUCCGUUAGCUUAGCACCCGAUCGUUUAGUAUGUUGCUAUUGCUUUCUUCAUGACUUAUACAUGUUCCUAUGACUAUGAGAUUAUGCAACUCCCGUUUACCGGAGGAACACUUUGUGUGCUACCAAACGUCACAACGUAAAUGGGUGAUUAUAAAGGUACUCUACAGGUGUCUCCAAAGGUACUUGUUGGGUUGGCGUAUUUCGAGAUUAGGAUUUGUCACUCCGAUUGUCGGAGAGGUAUCUCUGGGCCCACUCGGUAACACACAUCACUAUAAGCCUUGCAAGCAUUGUGACUAAUGAGUUAGUUGCGGGAUGAUGUGUUACGGAACGAGUAAAGAGACUUGCCGAUAACGAGAUUGAACUAGGUAUCGAGAUACCGACGAUCAAAUCUCGGGCAAGUAACAUACCGGUGACAAAGGGAACAACGUAUGUUGUUAUGCGGUCUGACCGAUAAAGAUCUUCGUAGAAUAUGUGGGAGCCAAUAUGGGCAUCCAGGUCCCGCUAUUGGUUAUUGACCGUAGACGUGUCUCGGUCAUGUCUACAUAGUUCUCGAACCCGUAGGGUCUGCACGCUUAACGUUACGAUGACAGUUUUAUUGAGUUUUGAUGUACCGAAGGAGUUCGGAGUCCCGGAUGAGAUCGGGGACAUGACGAGGAGUCUCGAAAUGGCCGAAACGUAAAGAUCGAUAUAUUGGACGACUAUAUUCGGACUUCGGAAAGGUUCCGAGUGAUUCGGGUAUUUUUCGGAGUACCGGAGAGUUACGGGAAUACGUAUUGGGCCUUAUUGGGCCAUACGGGAAAGAAGGAAAAGGGCCUCAAGGGUGGCCGCACCCCUCCCCUUGGUCUGGUCCGAAUUGGACUAGGGAAGGGGGACGCCCCCUUCCUUCCUUCUCUUUUUCCCUUCCUCUUUUCCUAUUCCAUAUGGGAGGUGGAAUCCUACUAGGACUAGGGAGUCCUAGUAGGACUCCACACUUGGUGCGCCCCCUCCUAGGGCCGGCCUCCUCCUCCCUUGCUCCUUUAUAUACGGGGGUAGGGGGGCACCCCAGAGACACAACAAUUGAUCCUUGAGAUCUCUUAGCCGUGUGCGGUGCCCCCCUCCACCAUAUUACACCUCGAUAAUACCGUUGCGGAGCUUAGGCGAAGCCCUGCGUCGGUGGAACAUCAUCAUCGUCACCACGCCGUCGUGCUGACGAAACUCUCCCUCAACACUCGGCUGGAUCGGAGUUCGAGGGACGUCAUCGAGCUGAACGUGUGUAGAACUCGAAGGUGCCGUACGUUCGGUACUUGAUCGGUCGGAUCGUGAAGACGUACGACUACAUCAACCGCGUUGUGAUAACGCUUCCGCUGUCGGUCUACGAGGGUACGUGGACAACACUCUCCCCUCUCGUUGCUAUGCAUCACCAUGAUCUUGCGUGUGCGUAGGAACUUUUUUGAAAUUACUAUGUUCCUCAACAACAAAAGAGGGCGGCUUGCUAGCAUACCAUAUCUUGCAUGCCGAUGCCGCUCACGGGGCGGGCCUUGACGCUCUCAAGAGUGGCACAAAACUUGUUGCACUCUUGUUGGAUCACCCUUUAUCGCUUCAAAAUGGACACCCACCCGCGCGUGCUUACUAGUUGAUACGGCGGAAACUUCUUGCGCUCAUGGAACUCACGGUCGAUGCGAAUCCAAUAGGUUGAUGCCUCUUGUUCGGCGCCCGUCUUGGGGUCUUGCCCAAUGUCUCUCCAACACUCACAAAAGAAGCUUGUUCUCGGCCGCCGUGUAUGCCUUGGUCCGCUUACUCUUGCGCUUCGGCUUCGCCCCGGCGGCUUGGUUGGCGAGCUCGUCCUCGAAUAAAGGCUCCCCUUCGAUGUCGCACUCGUCCUCUUCCUCUUGCCCGUAGUCCUCCGGAAACUCGUGGUCGAGUGGGAAGCCGUCCAGGUCCAGGUCGACCUGAUCAUGCAUGAAGGCCGCCUGAUAUUGCUCAAAGGUGGACGGCGUGGACGCCCCUCGGCCGUGCUGGCUUUGUGUCUCGUCGGGAUCGUAGCCUGCGGCCGGCGCACCACCCUCGAAGGUCAUGUUCUGCAUGUAGUCGUCGUCACCGGAGGCCGACAUUCCGUCGAACAGGUUGCGUGUGCCCGACAGCACGUCGGCUGGCAUCUGCCGCGCGUGUUUCCUCGCGCCUCCGGAUGAUGAGCCACCGGCCACCGGUGUGGCGUUGAGGUCGAUGUGCGCGGGCGUGGAAGGCGCCACCACGCUCACCUCGGGCGAGCACUCCCUGGUAAGGCGGGAGGUCUGCGGGUAGACGUGGAAGCCGGUCAUCGGGGUGCAACCGACACACGGGGCGAGUCGGGCAGCACCAUCCAAGGGAACGCGGAUGAGCCGGUGCUGGCCGCGGCCACGGCGGCGCUGACGAGGCCGUGCUGGCUAGGGUUUAACCCUAGCAUGUACAGCGCCUCCUUUGUUGCCGACGCGACGCGGGCGUUGGUACCUCCUUCUAUGCGGCCGCGGCGGCGGCCGCGAUGGCUUCAUCCCUCACGUCCGUCGCGUGCCUCCGGCCCUUCCUCUUGGCCGACUCCCUUGCCCGUUGUUCGAGCGUCAGCGUGUUCUUCGGCUUGGGCGUGGCGGUGGUCUUGCAGGGGGCGGAGGCUUGCCUUUGCCGGAGAGGGUGGUCGUCAUGCCGGACGAGGCGAGGGGGGCGAGGCCGGUGGCGGCGUCGAGGUCGUCGUCGAUGGCGCGGGGGGAGGGCGGUAGUAGCGCGCACGGACGGGAGGGUUUUUGGGGGAAAUGGUGGAGGCUGCCACCGACCAGCAGGCUCGGGGGAAGGAGAAGGCGCGCGCGCGCGUCCGUCUUGUGUCCACGCCGGCGCAAAUCCGGCUUAAAUAUGGGCCGGGAAUGGGUCGGCAGGCGGACGAAAACCGGACGGGCGUCCGUUUGGGUCGGCGCGUUGGGCCGACUUUUGUGUCCGCGCCGACCCAAACGGACGCCAGCGUACGAAAUGGGUCGCCCCGUUGGAGUUGCUCUUACUAUUUUAAAUUUUCAAAAAAUGUAUCUGACGAACGUUUGCUGGGGAUGUCCCCGAAGCCAUCAGAUCGGCAUCUGACGGUGACGGUUUUUUGAGAAAAUAACCCCGCAAAUUAAAACAAAACUGCCAUUAUAGUUUUGCAAAAGUGCCAACCCAACCCUAUCCAACAAACAAAAACUGCCAUGCGGAGCGUUCACAAAUGGCAAGGCCCCCGCGAACGUUUCGUUGGGGAUUGACAUCAUAAAAUUUAAACACUGUUCAUCCGGAAGCAAACUGGUGUACCAUAUUCUCAUCAACUCUUUGUCCGAAUUGAAGUCUGCUGUACUAAAAUGAUUUUCAUCCCUCUCUUAUUUGGUGGAAAAUGUGUUUUCAUCUAUAUCUACUUUUUUUAAAGAGCCUGUGUAUUUAUCAAAUAUCAACAUGACAAGGAAAUUCCCAUAAAAACAUUACAAGGAAAUUUAGGCUAUUAUAUGGAUAAUUAUCCUUUAACUCAUUAUAUUUGCUCAGCUAAAAAAGCAGUCCCCAGCUUAACUCUUAAAUUUAGCUCCUCAAAAAAAUUCAAACAAAUUUGAACAUCGAUAACUCAAUUUGAUUCAAUGAAGACUAACGCUAUGGCCAAUAAGACCUACCUAACAUUACAAUGAAGACUGAACCAUUGAAGUUGACAUCCCACACCUCGCGGUAGGAGACCACUCAGGGGUCAAUUUCGACUCCCGUCGGGGUGUUGCGGCUGUCGAGGGGGCAGUUGAGCUUCGCUUCACAUUCGUAGUGCGCCACCUCCUUGAGGUUGUAUGCCCUCGUCGCCAGUUCCAGCAAAUUACAGGACGCCGAUGUCAGUGUACUUGAUUUCAGACACCCAUAUCCCAGACGGCCGCAGCCGCACGCCAUGGUACUUCUUCUUCUUCUUCGGCGGCAGUUAGUCGGCACCAAAGGAANNNNNNNNNNNNNNNNNNNNNNNNNNNNNNNNNNNNNNNNNNNNNNNNNNNNNNNNNNNNNNNNNNNNNNNNNNNNNNNNNNNNNNNNNNNNNNNNNNNNNNNNNNNNNNNNNNNNNNNNNNNNNNNNNNNNNNNNNNNNNNNNNNNNNNNNNNNNNNNNNNNNNNNNNNNNNNNNNNNNNNNNNNNNNNNNNNNNNNNNNNNNNNNNNNNNNNNNNNNNNNNNNNNNNNGACGACUGGGGUGGGGGAGGCUGCGGGAGGGCGACGAGGUGGAUUUGGGCGUCGAUGGUGAAUAUGCGAUGCGGGGGGAGGGGGUGCAAACAAACGGUGCAUGGCGAAUAAAUAUAAGGGUCGGCCGACACGAGGAGUAAAAAAUGUACUCCUCUAAAGCCUUUAAGGGGAUCGGCUAGGCCCGGUUUAGUCCCUUAAAUCAAAUUUUACUCCUCUAAAGUUUUUUAAGAGAUCGGCCAGAGAUGCUCUAAAACCUGAAAAACAAGGUUUGCUACAUCUCGCACCGAUGGAUCGGAGCCUCCAACAGUCCCCACCGAUAGAGUCAGCGAAUGAGGAGGAGGUUGACAACCUACUGGUGGAGGAGGGGUGGAGGCAAGGUAUGCCCAGAGAUCGCCUCUCUCGGGUUCCUAGGGUUCAGCUGCGUGGCCUCAUAAUGUGUUUCAUCUCUAACUAAGCAGCAGGUUGUAAGAGACUAAUCGGGUGAUCAGUUGAUUGAGUAGGUAGGCGUGCAUCAAGGCAUGACGGUGAAAUAAAGUUAGUACAAAGUUGAGUCUUCUAUUUUGGAACGGAAAAAGUACAUACAUCUAGGAACCAUGAAUCUCAUACGUGUGCGUGGCAGGAGCAUGUGGGAAUUGUUCCAAAAUGAUUCGCGGCACCUGACCCGGCUUGCCCCUGCCGCUCAUCGAUCGGUCCCAGGCUUUGUAGCUUAGCCGAAGUGAAAUGCACCCGAGCUAUCCGUAUAAUAAUACCAGCACGUUACCACUGCACGCAUCUGGAUUCGGUCGCCAAUCAGCCGGCGAUCUGAUGAUUGCACAUGCUCGGGGUGCCUGCGGCGCUGUAUUCUAUUCAUUCCAAGCGCUAAACUCCAUGCAGCCCAUCGGAGGAGAUCGCGGCACCGGCGCCGGCAGGCGAACUGCGAGCACUGUGGCUCUAUUACUCGAUCGAUCGGUUGGUGCUACGCAGGGACGCGCACAAUGAUUUGCCGAGCCGCCGAUCGAGAACCGCCGCGUCAUUGCUAUUGAGCUGGUAGGGGGAUUAGUUUGAGCGACUCAUUUUUCUCCCCCACCGGCCCAGUUUUGUCGCCUCUCCCUGCCCCAGUACGUGCAGGAGAGUGGACUUGGCGGAGGAGUCUGAUCAUCCCUUCGGCAGCAGGGGUACGUAGCAUCGUAGCAGUCGCCAUGGCGGCAGCUAGCUCGGCCGCGAGCAGGUUGGUGUACUGUGUACAGCGAAGGAGGAGUGGUUCGGGGUUGGCGGCGAUCGCGGUGGAUGAGAGGGACAGCUUUGGGGGCUGGAGUUUUGGAGCCUCCUGCUUCGAUCUCUGCUGCGUGCCAACCCCGAAAAGUUGGUUCGAAAAGAUCUCUGCUGCGUGCUGCCAAAGAGUUGGCGCUAGAGACAAGCGCGAAAAGUGCAUGUUUGAAUAUUUUACUCUUGUAUCGAUCGAUCACAGGGAAAUUACGAUCGCGUAAUAAAACCUACCCGGCCUCUUGAUCCACCAGCCAAUAUACUAUACACGUGAUUAUUUUUCGAAAACACUAGCGCCGACUCACCCACACGUCUCGAUCGCCAUCCAGUGUCUUUUGCACGAAUCUUGGCACGAGAGGGCUGAUUUUAUGUGCCACGUAGGACAACUCACGUGUGUGGCGUAUGAGGGAGUUCGCCCGCACGCUGCUUUCCCUCUGAGGUCAGCGGUUGCGACUCGGGACGUGCGGUGGAACUGCCGUCGCGCCCCGCACGACUUCUGUCCCCCAUCUCCCACGACUGCCCAUUUUCCCACUCUCCCACACCCAAGUUGUCAUUUGCCAUGUUUUUUGCAGGUUACAUGGCAACCGCCCUAUUCGUGAUUGUAAGCAGAUGACAACUCUCUUUUACCCCGAACAUGUUAUUGUUGCCACGUCUGUUUUUGUAGCGCUACAUGGCAACUGUCUAGUGUUAUUAGGUGGCAACUCCUAAAGAUACCACCGUAGUCCACAUGCCCCGUCUCCUCUCCCACACACCAAAAGCUAUCAGUUGUCAUGUGUUUUUUAGGGUACAUGGCAACUGCCCUAGUGUGUUUGUAAGCAGAUGGCAACUCUCUUUUACCCGGACAUGUUUUUUGCCAUGUUUUGUAGUGCUGCAUGGCAACUGUCUAGUGUUAGUAGGUCGCAACUCCUAAAGUUUUCAAAUCAUGGCAACUGUAGUAGACCAGACCAUACAUGGCAACAGCUGCAGUUGCCCAAAAAUGGCAUCCGGCACUUGACCUGAGAUGGCAACUGCAGUUGAGCAACCAUGGCAACUGUAGUUGUCCGACAUGGCAACUGCAGUUGUCCGACAUGGCAACUACAGUUCAGGGACAUGGCAACUGCAGUUACACGUACAUGGAAGAGGGUCCGGACCAUAGCAAUCGCAGCGGGACGCGUGGUUACUGCCACGCGGGGCGUGUGGCUCGCAGGCGGGGAGGGGCGACGGCCGAGACGGGUCGUGCGGGCCGCGUGGUCGCUCGGCCGGACGUGCUCAUGCGGGCGAUCGCGCCGCACACCGAACGUGCGGGCUGUGGCGGGGUGCGCCCGGACGUGCUCGUGCGGGCGGGCCUGUGUCGAUGCCACACGGGACGUGCGGCAGAUACCCCCUAGAUGCCACAUGUGUGGCAGUUAUCGACGUCCUUAAUUUUUAGUAGAGAUAUGUUAUUAUUCAUGGAAGAGACGGUGUUCGAGCAAUUAAAAUGACUAGAGAGUUUGGGAAAUACAUUGGAGCUCUCGGAUGUCACAAAUCCCUAUAUGAAUAUAGUAUUAAAAAGAUACUAAUUUUUUUCAAAAAAAAUCUGAAAUAUCAUGAUACCAAACAUGGGUGCCCAUUCUGCUUCCACCUUUAGGGUGUGUUUGGUUCGGGAACGAAGUGGAAUGGAAUGUCAUGGUUCCAUUCCAGUGUAAUGGGUCGGUUCUGUUCGUGUGUUUGGUUGAGAUAUUUGAUGGAAUGUAAUGGUUACGUUUCAGUGUUUGGUUUGAGUGACGGAAUGGAAUGAAUUCAGUUCAAAACAUCUCCUGUAUAAAAAUGAUGAGACUGCGUCUCAUAUGCACAGAUAUACAAUAUGACCAAGUAUAAAAUCUUUGUAAUUACCAUAGCAUUUAUAUCAAAUUGUACUUUGACAUCAAAUAUGGUAUUCUUUCAAUUGAAUAUUUACAUUGAAUUGUUUCCUAUUGAGAGGACAUAGACGGGGUAAAAAAUCAUGAAUGGGCACACAAUCAAGGAAUUUUUUCUCAAAGUUUUGCGACUAUUUAUAUUCGAUUGGAUUUCAAUCAAGAAAAAUUGCUCCCUGUUGCAGCCAGCGACGGGCAGUGAUUGCAUGGGGUAGCCGGAUAGGUGGCCGUCGGAGCUCGCAAGGGGAUGGCCAUCGCAGCUCGCAAGGGGAUGGCCGCCGCCUCAUCAGAUCAGGUCGCCGCCGCCUCAUCAGAUCAGGACGUCAAGUCACCACAGUCUCCUAGCAGAUGAGGACGUCGCCGCCCUGUUGUGGAUCCGCUGCACUGGUCACCGCGCCCAGCUGUGGAUCCGAUGGCUUGGUCGUCGCUGCUCAUCCGUCGGGCUUGGAGAGAGGAGCGCGGAGGAGCGACCGGAGACGAGAGGGGUCGGGGGAGACGGAGAGUGCGUCGGUAGGGGAGGUGGAGUGGGCGAGAGGCCGUUCCGCGUCGUUCCACCAAAUUGGAGAAAUGAGCGCGUUCCGGAUAUUGGUGGAAUAUUCUCUUUUGGGGAACGAGUGGGUUCUAGUCCGUUCCUGAUCUAAACGCGAGAACGUGGCCCUGGGACGGGUCGGACCCGCGCCAUUCCGUUCGAUGACUGAAACUAAACAGACUUAGUUUCGUGAGGACUGGAUGCCCGUGGUAUCCGUGUCAAAGAAAAUACUGUCCGAGAUUGUCCACCCAAACAGUUGUUUCUAUACAAAACAAUUUUUUGACUUUUUUUCGUGAAUACCAUGGGCACCCAUGUUUCAUAUUUUCAAAAAUUCUUGUUUUUGUAUAAAAAACUGAUAUUUCCUUAUAAUGUAUUCAUAUAGGGGCGUGUGGCACCCUACAGCCAUAAAUCCUCAUCCCAGAGAGGUUUCACUACUAUUGGUGUUUGGACACAAGGUAUUGAAGAAUAAAAUCAUCACCAAUAAUCGUAAUCCCUACUCCCAUCUUCGGCUCGCCCCGACAUGAUUUGUCCAGACAGACGGCCCGAACAGAUUAGACAGAAAAUGUCAUCCAAUUGGGCCCCCAAACCUAGUCCAUACUCAUCAAACUCAAUCCACGUCCGCCAUGUCGGAUCCAUACUGAAUCCCUUCAAGUUGUCAAACGACCGCCGUCUCCUCCAUGCAAGUCCUCUAUUUGCCACAUCCGCGUCGUCGUCGUCCUCCGCCCUUGCUCUGCAUCUGCGCUGCCCUCCUCAUCCCCCAUCCUAGCCAUCGACGCCCACUCCAUUGUCUGACCGCCAACAUGGACUUGGGUGGGCGGAUGUUGUGGGUGUUUCAACCUUUGAGAUGGCUAACAUAGAGAUCAUCACCUGCAAGAACCGGUGUGUCUGACAGUGCGGCCACGAAUAGGCUGAGAAGAUGUUGCGGCGAAGGAGGUCAUCGGCGUGGAGUUUGCCAUAUCCGCUCUAGCGUCAUCCGCCCACACCCUACGACAUUAUGGUUUCGCAAUGUAUAUUGUAUGGCUUCCCACAGGACGCAAACGCCUCUCAGGUCCUGGCUUACGAUUCGCCAUAGCUCCAACGGUCGCGGAUGACGCCAGGAAGCUUCAUCUACGGGCAUGCCCAACAACUAUUCAAGGACAUUCUCAACUAAAUUCGCAGAUUUCUUUGCCCUAUAUGCAUUUAUCGGUCCAAUUUUAGGAUGGUAGUUAUCGACGUGGAAUUUUCCAUAUCUGCUCUCGCGUCAACCGCCACGCGCCCACACCCAUGACCUAUGGCAUUUUGAUUGUGCAAUGUAUCAUGGGUUGCUCCCGAAGGGGAGCUUUGGCACUAGUAGAAAAAAGGUCAUUUGUCCCGGUUCGUAAGGCCCAUUUGUCCUGGUUGUGGAACCGGGACUAAAGGGUAGGUACUAAAGCCCUACACCUUUAGUCCCGGUUCUUACACCAACCGGGACAGAUGGGCCUCCACGUGGCCGUUGCGGCGAGCCCAGGCAGGGGGGCCUUUUGUCCCGGUUGGUAGCACCAACCGGGACCAAUAAGCGUCCACGCGUCAGCAUUUCANNNNNNNNNNNNNNNNNNNNNNNNNNNNNNNNNNNNNNNNNNNNNNNNNNNNNNNNNNNNNNNNNNNNNNNNNNNNNNNNNNNNNNNNNNNNNNNNNNNNNNNNNNNNNNNNNNNNNNNNNNNNNNNNNNNNNNNNNNNNNNNNNNNNNNNNNNNNNNNNNNNNNNNNNNNNNNNNNNNNNNNNNNNNNNNNNNNNNNNNNNNNNNNNNNNNNNNNNNNNNNNNNNNNNNNNNNNNNNNNNNNNNNNNNNNNNNNNNNNNNNNNNNNNNNNNNNNNNNNNNNNNNNNNNNNNNNNNNNNNNNNNNNNNNNNNNNNNNNNNNNNNNNNNNNNNNNNNNNNNNNNNNNNNNNNNNNNNNNNNNNNNNNNNNNNNNNNNNNNNNNNNNNNNNNNNNNNNNNNNNNNNNNNNNNNNNNNNNNNNNNNNNNNNNNNNNNNNNUUUGGGGGGUUAAUUUACGUGUUUCAUAUAUUGUGUUAGCUAGCUAAUUAAUAGAGAGAAGUGUCCUCUCUUAUCUCCGUGCUUGGUCGACGCUACGUACUAUACGUAUAGGCGACACGCUAGCUAGUAACCAAAUGAAGGAAAACAGAAGAUCGUCAUGAACAUAUGCAUACAGAGAGAAGUGAUAUCGACCUCUCCUUCUCCGAGAGAUUGGUCGAACAACAGGUUUUCGUAUAUCUAUCCGAUGCUACUGGCUACAUAUAUACAAUAUAAGAUCUCUUACAAUAUGAUUCCCUAAUUAUAUAUGAACUCAGGGUCCACAUGGUAUUCUCCGUCUUUAUCGAUCACGUGGUCAAGAAAGAAUGCCGCCAAUUCCUCUUGAAUUGCUCGCAUGCGAUCUGGUGCUAGUAGUUCAUCCCGCAUCCGAAACAUCUAAUUUGAAGAAGGAGGUCAAUACAUAUAUAUGAAUGAAUGAAACUCAACAAAAUUGAUGGUAAAUAAAAUAAAAUUGUGAAUAUUAUUGCUUACGCACUUCAUAUUGUUUGUUAGAGUAGCCCCGCUCACAGGUCGUGUGGCGGAUGGACUCGCAAACGUAGUAUCCACAGUAAUUAUUCCCGGCUUCCUGCCACAACCACUUUACAAGAAAUAGAGGUCAAUCAAACUGAUAAGCAAGCAUGCUAAAUGGUAUUGAUGAAACUAGCGCUUGAAUCAUUAGGAGAUGCGCGGAACUAGCUAGUAGUACUUACUUUUGGGUGUGUAAAUUGCAGCUUCCUCGGCAGUCCCGGAGCUUUUGAGGUGAAUUUUUUCCAAACCCUGCGAGACAAAGAAAACAAUUACUUGAUAUCAGGUAAUGUACAAAGUUGCCGAUAUGGUGCGAUAAUGGUCGAUUUAACUUACUUCUCGAGCAUUUCAGUCAUGUCCGCAUACUCCUGGGGAUCUUUUCGUCUCGAGUCUAAGACGGUUACUAGUCCCUGCUCAAGCUUAAUCUCUAGGAGAAUAUAGUGGAACCUGCGCACGCAUGCAUAACUCAUCAAUUACAUUACUAUAACCUCGACUAAUAAGGGAAACCAAAUAUGCACAAGACAGUAACACUCACGUGAAGUUGUAAGGAAAGAGUAUUAUAGCUUUGUUUUGAUUUAAUACCAACGAUCGUAGCAAGUUGGCCUCGGUAUCUUUGGCAUGAAAUUCAACCGUAUAUGCAUCUAUGAGAUUUGUGUUAAUGAACCCAAUAUCACCGAUUUGUAUUUUCUUUAAUUCGGUGAUCUUCAAUCUGCAUAAUAUAGUGAGGAUAAUUAUAAAUAUAUGCAAUGAAAGAGCUGACCUAUAUAUAGAGACUUAAUGACAGAAGUAGUACUUACAAACAGUAGCAAGUGACCGUUAAUUUAUCGAGGGCCUUUUGAUUGAAAAACUGGAAGAACUCCUCAAAUGGAAGAGUCAACAGUUCAAUUCAAACGAGGUCGUGCUCCUCUUUAACUCUCAGCGUCAAAGUAUCCUCCCCCCAGACUCUCUGCAGGUUUUCAUGUACCAAUCAUGGAAUCUUCGCGUCAUCGUUGUUAGAGAUCUUUCAUCUUUGACGAGAGGCUUCCCGUAAUGGUAUUUGUGUUCAUCCACCUCCAAGAAAUCAUAAUGUACAUCGUCAGGCAGGUAAUCUCCAAGAUUGGUAUUGGGCAAAAUCUCCGGAUGAUUAGCGACGAUAUCGCUAGACACCUUGAGCGGGGGGCACGAUUGGUUCGCUUGUUCGCCCAGCUGGGCAAUUUUUUCCCCAGCUUGUUGUUCUGCUAACCUUUGAUCACUGAUAGUACUUCCCGACCGCUCCGCUUUGAUAUAUGACCUUUCAAUAAUGCGAUCAUAGUUGGAUUGCGGCGGAGAAGGUGGUGGUCGCUUCAGGGCAUCGAUAGUGCGCUUCGCUUUCACCGGAUCUACCUUCUCCUUCGGAGGUGGAUGUUUCUUUGCUUUCACCGCUUGAAAGAAGUCCCUCACUUCGGCUUCCACGGUAUUCUUGUUUUCCUCCAUGGUCAUCUCGUAUGGUAACUUCUCUAGAGGCUUGAGAGAUGGACCGAAUCUAUAUUGCCUCCCGCCUCUGGCUAUACUGCUAGACGCGGGAGCAGACGGAGCGGCUGCGGCUGUCUUCUUUCCUUGCUUACGAGGCGGAGGAGAAGGACUACGACGCGCCGGAGCAGCCGGAGCGGCGGCGGGUCUCUUCCGCCCUUGCUGAUGAGGCGGAGAAGGAGGAGGCUGGCUGCUCGGGCGCGCCGGCACAGGCGGAGAAGGAGGCGGAGUGCCGCCACGCACCGGAGAAGGAGGCUGAGUGCCCUGAUCACUCCUCAGAGGAGGAGGCGGAGUGCCCUGACUCGCCGGGGGAGGAGGAGGAGGCGGAGGCGUCCAGUUCGAAAGGUUGAUGAGCUCCUUCCGCCAUAGGCAUGGAGUUUUCAUAGCAGAACCCAGCCGAGUCUCCCCUUCACCCGUAGGGUGGUCAAGCUCGAGGUCCUCAAAUCCCUCCGUUAUUUUGUCCACCGUCACCCUAGCAUAUCCUUCUGGAAUUGGACGGCAGUGAAAAGUUGCGUCGGGUUCAGGAGGUCGAACAGAGCCGACAGCCGCCUUGACAUUGAAGUUCUACCAUUGCGUCAUAAGGUGGCAAUGUUGAGACUCCGUGAUACCAUCCACGGGGUAGCUAGAAGGAACCGUGAAGACAGGCUCCAGCUGAAGCAGCUCGGUGGAAGCCACGCUGCUUCUCCGCUGAGAUGGCGGGGUAGCUUCGGCAGGUCGCUUGUUGCGAACUGCUUCUCGUUCCUCUAGCCCUUGUACCCUUGCGUGCAGCGCCUGGAGUUGGGUCUGCUCCACUUUCUUCCUCCUCUCCUGGCAUUUGUAACCGCCUGCGUCCGGAAACCCAGCCUUCCACGGAACGGAGCCUGGCAUGCCUCGUGUCCGUCCAGGGUGCUCAGGAUUCCUGAGGGCCAUUGUGAGCUCGUCGUUCUCUCUGUCUGGAACGAACGUCCCUUGCUGCGCUGCAUCGAUAUACUGCUGAAGCUUCUUGACGGGUAUGUUAAGUUGGUCGUUCGUCCAAACGCACUUCCCUGAUACAGGGUCCAAGGUUCCGCCAACCCCGAAGAACCAAGUUCGGCAACGGUCUGGCCAGUUCAAUGUCUCUGGUUUGACCCCUUUAUCAAGCAGGUCAUUCUCAGCCUUGGCCCACAACGGCCGGUCUUUAAGGUAGCCACCUGACCCUGUGCGAUGGUGAAGCACCUUCUUCGCAGCAUUUUUCUUGUUUGUCACUGACAUCUUCUUACUCUUGUCCGAUGUCUUGUGGGCCACAAAUGCGGGCCAGUGAUCUCUGGUCUUCUCAUACCGGCCGGUGAAUUCUGGUGUCUUUUCUUGGUUGACAAACGAUGUUUUCAACUCAUUCUUCUACCUCCUGAAUAGAUCUGCCAUCUUCUUAAGAGCAUGAGACUUGAUCAAUUGCUCUUUAACUGGCUUCUCCGGAUCCUCCUCUGGCGGUAGCGUGAAAUUUGCCUUCAGCGCGGUCCAAAGAUCAUCUUUCUGCAUAUCAUUGACAUAAGACACCUCAGGGUCUUCCUUCUUAGGCUUAAACCAUUGGUGGAUGCUGAUCGGGAUGCUUCCUUGGUCUAGAUGGGUUCAAUCGGUUGGCCAUCCUGCGCGAUUGCUGUGAUCUCAAACCUUUCAUCCGAGAGCAACUUUUUCUUCGGGCCUUAUUUCUUUACCGAAGUUGUGCUCGAUCCGGAGGGCUAGAAAAAAGAAGAAAGACGAGAGUUAAUUAAUAUGUGUACAUACCAAAACAAUGAAUGCAUCAAUUAGCUAGUCAGCACAUGCUUAAUUAAUAUAUAUACCUGGCCGGACUCUGUUCGGUCACCGGAGCCGUCAUCACGGUCUCCUUCUUGCACCGGCAUUCGGUCACCGGAGCCAUCAUAAUCAUGUCUUUCCUCCUCCAUUGUUCGAUCACCGUAGCCUGCUUCUUCACCCUGUCCUUCCAGACUAUCAUUGUCGUUAAGAUACGACAAGACAUUAGCUCUGGCUAAGAUUAUGUCCCCCCCAACACCACUUCUGCUGCCUCGUCUCGUCCGUGCUCCAUUGUUUCUGCAAAUAUUACACCAUGGCAAUUAUUAUACAAACAUGACAGCAGGUGGAUAUAUUAGUGGCAAACGUAGACCUAGCUACCUAAUCACAACAAGGAAUCAUAUUAGUGGCCUUGACGCUUCUCUAGGGUUUGGGGUGGCCUCAGCAACGCUUCAAGGGUUCGGGGUGGCCUCGACGACAACGCUCGGCGAUCCUCGACCCUCGAACCCUCGACGACCCUCGAACCCUCGACCCCUCGCCCCUCGAACUCUCGACGACCCUCGACCCUCGGUGACCUCUACCCUAGCUAGUUCCCGACCCUCGCCCCUCGAACCCUCGGCGAGCCUCGACCCCCCCCUCAUGUCGAAGUUAUCGGGGAGGGGGUAUAUCGACUCCCCCCUCAUGUCGAAGUUAUCGGGGAGGGGGUAUAUCGACAACGACAUACCCGAUAAAAAAUAAGAAGAGGAAGAAGAAGAAAAAAAGAAGAGAAGAAGAAAGGAAUAGAGGAGGAGAUCGAAGAAAAAAAAGAAGAAAAAAAAGAGGAGAAGAAGAAAGGAAUAGAGGAGGAGAAGAAAAAAUAGAUUAUUCUAUUUUUUUCUUCUCCUCCUCUAUUCCUUUCUUCUUCUCCUCUUUUUUUCUUCUUUUUUCCUCUUCUUAUUUUUUUCUCCUCUUCUUCUCCUUCUUCUUCUCUUUCUUCCUCUUCUAAUUUUCCUUUUUCCUCUCCUCUUCUUCUUCCUUCUUCCUAGAUAAAACUUUUCUAAAAAUGUAACUUUUGUAUAUAUAAAAGUUUUUCUUUUUCUUUCUUCUUCCUCCUUCCUAGCUAGAUAUAUAAAACUUUUUCUAAAAAUGUAACUUUUGCAUUUAUAAAACUUUUUCUUCUUCCUUCCUUCUCUUCCUUCUUCCUAAAUAUAUAUAACUUUUCUAAAAAUGAAAUAAACCUAAAAUGCACUAAAUCAGAGAACAUACAUAGAUAAAACUUUUCUAAAAAUCUAUCUUUUAAAUACAUGAACAUAUAUACACAGAGAACAUACAUACAUAUAUAAAUUUUUAUAAAAAUGCAAAAAACAAAUCAUCAUAUAUAUGAACAAAAAAUCUGCAAAAAAGGACAUAUCAUCAGAUAUACACACAUACAUAUACUCACACAUAUACAUANNNNNNNNNNNNNNNNNNNNNNNNNNNNNNNNNNNNNNNNNNNNNNNNNNNNNNNNNNNNNNNNNNNNNNNNNNNNNNNNNNNNNNNNNNNNNNNNNNNNNNNNNNNNNNNNNNNNNNNNNNNNNNNNNNNNNNNNNNNNNNNNNNNNNNNNNNNNNNNNNNNNNNNNNNNNNNNNNNNNNNNNNNNNNNNNNNNNNNNNNNNNNNNNNNNNNNNNNNNNNNNNNNNNNNNNNNNNNNNNNNNNNNNNNNNNNNNNNNNNNNNNNNNNNNNNNNNNNNNNNNNNNNNNNNNNNNNNNNNNNNNNNNNNNNNNNNNNNNNNNNNNNNNNNNNNNNNNNNNNNNNNNNNNNNNNNNNNNNNNNNNNNNNNNNNNNNNNNNNNNNNNNNNNNNNNNNNNNNNNNNNNNNNNNNNNNNNNNNNNNGUGGAAAAAAACAGGGAGGAGAGGACAGGGGAAGGGGGGGCGGCGCCGGCCUGACCAAGGAGAGGUGCGGAGUGGUCGGGGCAGGGGCAGAGGCACGACGUCGGUGUAGAGGGCGGCGACGGCGGAGUGGUCGGGGCAGGGGCGAUGGCGGCGUGGUCGAUCGGGCCGGGCAGGGCGAGGCAGAGGCACGGCGAGGGUGCGCAGCGUGGUCGGGGGGCUGGGGCGACGGCGACGUGGUCGGGGGGAGCCGUUCUUUUAUAACCGGAGAUCCGUAACUCCGAUUGGGCUGAAUUUUGGACACGAUCUCUAUCCGGAUAUUAGCUUUCUUGCGGCGAAAGAAGGGCUCCAACCGCCUUACGGGGUAGCCACGAGGGUCCAGGGCACGCCUGACCCCCUGGGGCGCGCCCCCUGCCUCGUGGCCCCCUCGGGCAUCGUCUCGCGUUGAUUCUUCUUCCCAAAAAUCAUAAAUAUUCCCAAAAAAAAUCUUCGUCUGUUUUUAUCUUGGUUGGGCUCUGUUUGAUAUGGGUUUUCUGCGAAACAAAAAACAUGCAACAAACAGGAACUAGCACUGGGCACUGGAUCAAUAUGUUAGUCCCAAAAAUAGUAUAAAAAGUUGCCAAAAGUAUGUAAAAGUUGUAGAAUAUUGGCAUGGAACAAUCAAAAAUUAUAGAUACGACGGAGAUGUAUCAGCAUCCCCAAGCUUAAUUCCUGCUCGUCCUCGAGUAGGUAAAUGAUAAAAAAGAUAAUUUAUGAUGUGGAAUGCUACCUAGCAUAAUCUUGAUCAUAUAAUCUAAUCAUGGCAUGAAUAUUAAGACACGAGUGAUUCAAAGCAAUAGUCUAUCAUUUGACAUUAAGACGAUAAUACUUCAAGCAUACUAAUAAAGCAAUCAUGUCUUUUCAAAAUAACAUGGCCAAAGAAAGUUAUCCCUACAAAAUCAUAUAGUCUGACUAUGCUCCAUCUUCACCACACAAAGCAUUCAAAUCAUGCACAACCCCGAUGACAAGCCAAGCAAUUAUUUCAUACUUUUGACGUUCUCAAACCUUUUCAACUUUCACACAAUACAUGAGCGUGAGCCAUGGAUAUAGCACUAUAGGUGGAAUAGAAUAUGAUGAUGGGGGUUGUGUGGAGAAGACAAAAAAGGAGAAAGUCUCACAUCGACGUCGCUAAUCAACGGGUUAUGGAGAUGCCCAUCAAUUGAUGUCAAUGCGAGGAGUAGGGAUUGCCAUGCAACGGAUGCACUAGAGCUAUAAGUGUAUGAAAGCUCAAACUGAAACUAAGUGGGUGUGCAUCCAACUUGCUUGCUCAUGAAGACCUCUGGCAUUUGAGGAAGCCCAUCAUCGGAAUAUACAAGCCAAGUUCUAUAAUGAAAAUUCUCACUAGUAUAUGAAAGUGAUAACUCAAGAGACUCUCUAUAUGAAGAACAUGGUGCUACUCUGAAGCACAAGUGUGGUAAAAGGAUAGUAACAUUUCCCCUUCUCUCUUUUUCUCUCAUUUUUUUCUCUUGUUUUUCUUUUUUUUCUUCUUUUUUUGGUGGGCUUCUUUGGCCUCUUUUUUUAUUUGGGCUUCUUUGGCCUCUUCUAUUUUGAUAACCUCACAUGGGACAAUGUUCUAAUAAUGAUGAUCAUCACACUUUCAUUUACUUACAACUCAAUACUAGAACAAAGAUAUGACUCUAUAUGAAUGCCUCCGGCUGUGUACCGGGAUGUGCAAUGAUCUAGUGUAGCAAUGACAUCAAAAAACGGACAAGCCAUGAAAACAUCAUGCUAGCUAUCUUACGAUCAUGCAAAGCAAUAUGACAAUAAAUGCUCAAAUCAUGUAUAUGAUGAUGAUGGAAGUUGCAUGGCAAUAUAUCUCGGAAUGGCUAUGGAAAUGCCAUGAUAGGUAGGUAUGGUGGCCGUUUUGAGGAAGAUAUAAGGAGGCUUUUGUGUGACAGAGCGUAUCAUAUCACGGGGUUUGGAUGCACCGGCGAAGUUUGCACCAACUCUCGAGGUGAGAAAGGGCAAUGCACGGUACCGAAGAGGCUAGCAAUGAUGGAAGGGUGAGAGUGCGUAUAAUCCAUGGACUCAACAUUAGUCAUAAAGAACUCACAUACUUAUUGCAAAAAUCUAUUAUUCAUCGAAACAAAGUACUACGCGCAUGCUCCUAGGGGGAUAGAUUGGUAGGAAAAGACCAUCGCUCGUCCCCGACCGCCACUCAUAAGGAAGACAAUCAAUAAAUACCUCAUGCUCCAACUUCGUUAUAUAACGGUUCACCAUACGUGCAUGCUACGGGAAUCACAAACUUCAACACAAGUAUUUCUACAAUCCACAACUACCCACUAGCAUGACUCUAAUAUCACCAUCUUUAUAUCGCAAAACCAUUGCAAGGAAUCAAACAUAUCAUAUUCAAUGAUCUACAAGUUUAUGUAGGAUUUUAUGACUAACCAUAUGAAUGACCAAUUCCUGUCAACUCUCUAAAUAGAUAUAAGUGCAGCAAGAGAGUUUAAUUCUUUCUAAAAAAGAUAUGCCCACGCUCUAACAAAUAUAAGUGAAACAAAAGAGCAUUCUACAAAUGGUGGUUUUCUAUGUGAAGAGAAACAUGCAAUCCAAACUUCAGAUGAUAUAAGUGAAGCACAUGAAGCAUUCUAUAAAGCCAUACUCAAAAGAUAUAAGUAAAGUGCAAAGAGCAUUCUAUAAAUCAACCAAGGACUAUCUCAUACCAGCAUGGUGCAUAAAAGAAAAAUGAAAACUAAAUGCAAAAGACGCUCCAAGAUUUGCACAUAUCGCAUGAACGAAACGAAUUCGAAUACAUACCGAUACUUGUUGAAGAAAGAUGGGAUGCCUUCCGGGGCAUCCCCAAGCUUAGACGCUUGAGUAUCCUUGAAUAUUUACUUGGGGUGCCUUGGGCAUCCCCAAGCUUGAUCUCUUGCCUCUCCUCCUUUUCCUCAUAUCGAGACCUUCUCGAUCUUUGAACACUUCAUCCACACAAAACUCAACAGAAAGUUCGGUAAGAUCUGUUAGUAUGAUAAAGCAAAUCACUACUCUAAGUACUAUUGCAAACCAAUUCAUAUUUUGUUUUUGCAUUUUAGCUACUGUAAUAUAACUUUUCCAUGGCUUAAUCCACUGAUAUAAAUCGAUAGUUUCAUGAAAACAAGCAAACUAUGCAUCAAAAACAGAAUCUGUCUUAAACAGGACAGUCUAUAGUAAUCUGAACAUUCACCAUACUUCUCGUACUCCAACAAUUCUACCAAAAUUAGGAAAAAUAAAAAAUUUGUAUAGAAAGACAGUGCAAAAAAUUUCAGAACCGUUUGACGUUCCAGUAAAAAACGUAAAAUCACGCACUACAGCCAAAGUUUCUGUCCUUUACCGCACAAACCAACAAGCAUUGUAAACAUCCUAAAGGAAAACCGUCGCACAUUAUUUUUAUUUUUAAACUUUAUAAAAGCACAGAACAGAAAUAAAUGACUCUCUAAAACUUCCGGGUUGUCUCCCUGGCAGCGCUUUCUUUAAAGCCAUUAAGCUAGGCAUAUUGUGCUCAUGUAAUGGAUCCACCUGGAUCCCAAGGUAUAUCAAAGCCAAUUUGAAUUAGCAAUGAUUUGGCAUUUAGUAGUGAGCACAAAGCAACAUAUAUCAAGCAAUGACAAAGUCUAACUCUCUUCAUAUGCAUCGGCAUGUCAUACAAGAACAAUUCAUGAACAUCAAGUAAAGGCCAAUGCAUAGUAUAAACAGUUUGUUGCAAUUUUAUCAUGUGGGAAACAUAGAAAGGUGGAGAUAUAGUUCCUCUCUCAUAAUAAUUGCAAGUAGGAGCAUCAAGCACAUGCAUAUUAUAUUCAUCAAAAUCAUCAUGUGCAACGGUAAAAGGCAACCCAUCAAUAUAAUCCUUAAUAAGGGCAAACUUCUCCGAUAUAGUGUAGUCGGGAGAAUUUAAAAAGAUAAUAGGACUAUCAUGCGUAGGUGCAAUAGCAACAAUUUCAUGUUUAACAUAAGGAACUAUAGCAAGUUCAUCUCCAUAAGCAUAAUUCAUAUUGGCAUCUUGGCCACAAGCAUAGCAAGCAUCAUCAAAAAGGGAUAUUUCAAAAGAAUCAACGAGAUCAUAACAAUCAUCAUAGCAUUCAUCCUUCGGUAAGCACGAAGGGAAAUUAAACAAUGUAUGAGUUGAAGAGUUACUCUCAUUAGAAGGUGGGCACGGGUGAUCAAUCCGCUCUUCCUCCUUUUGUUCUUCGCUCUCCUCCUCAUCUUUUUCAUCCAAUGAGCUCACAAUGUCAUCAAUUUCUUCUUCCAUAGGCUCCUGCAAAAUAUUAGUCUCUUCUUGGACAGCGGAGACUUUCUGAAUAAAAUCAUCAAUAUCGGAAUUGAAUUCAUAAUUCUCAUAGCAAUAUUUAAGUAUAGCAAAAUUUUCAGGUCUAUAAACAGCAUCAUCAAGAUUUUCACACUCUUUAAACAAAGAUUCAAUUUCAUAAGCACCCAUAAAUGCAACGAAUUCUUCUAUUUGUUCCACAUCAUAGUAAUCAUAUAUACCAUUAGCGUAAGAAGCCAAGGUUUAUCAUCAUUAAAUUUGCAUGAAAAGGAAAGGUGUGGAGCCUUCAUCCUAGAGCAACAAGUAUAAUCAUAUCUGAAGCAUAGUUCCCGAGCAUACCAGUGCAACAUAUGAAUUUAAUCCCAUAAUAGUUUCCCUUUUUGAGUCAAGCGAUAAUCCCUAAAGUAUUCACGUUGAUCCAACGUGUCUCCCAUUACAUAAUUGAAUGGAGUUUUCUCAGGAUUAUCAAAGUAGUACAUAAUAUUUUUCACAUAAUCAGCAUCGAGGGUUUUAGGAGGUUCCCCAUCUCCAUGAGUAGCAAGUACACCUAAUUUUUUUGGUAUUUCGUGUUCCAUAUCCAUAACUAAAGAUAGAGAACAACUUAGAACAACAAAUAAAAAUUACUUAGUGAUAAAGCAAACAAGCACACACGAGAAUAUUCACCCCACGCUAUAACUCCGGCAACGGCGCUAGAAAAAGGUCUUGAUAACCCACAAGUAUAGGGGAUCAAUUGUAGCCUCUUUCGAUAAGUAAGAGUGUCGAACCCAACGAGGAGCUAAAGGUAGAACAAAUAUUCUCUCAAGUUCUAUCAACCACCGAUACAACUCUACGCACACUUGACGUUCGCUUUACCUAGAACAAGUAUGAAACUAGAAGUAGUUUGUAGGUGUUGUUGCAUAGGUUUGCAAGAAUAUAAAGAGCAUGUAAAUAAAAACUAGGAGCUGUUUAGAUAAAGACGCAAUAAAGUUAGUAUAGCGAGUGUGGAAAAGUGGUGGUAGGAGUUGCAAAAUUGUCCCUAAGCAAUUGACUAUUUUACUAGACCGAUAGCAAGUUUUAUGUGGGAGAGGCCACUGCUAGCAUGUCAUCCCUGACUUGGAAUUCUAUGCACUUAUGAUUGGAACUAUUAGCAAGCAUCCGCAACUACUAACGUUCAUUAAGGUAAAACCCAACCAUAGCAUUAAGAUAUAUUGGUCACCCUUCAAUCCCGUAUGCAUCAAUUUCUAUGCUAGGUUGAAGCUUCUGUCACUCUUGCCCUCCAAUACAUAGUCCUAUCAAUAUACAACUAACCUUAUGGUGUGAUCCACGCGCGCGCUCAUAUGAUGGGCACCAAAGGACAGCAACAUAACUGUUAGAGUUGUGUCGAAUAUAGUGUACAAGGUAGGUUACAAUUGGACUAUGAGUUGUAUUGUGUUUACAUAGGAUGGGGAGUCGUGUCCUAUUAGGACACUUGUAUUCUAGGCCUCUCAUAUAUAGCGGGGGUAGACACACGAUGUAACCUAUGCCAACAUAAUAGUACAGGAACGCAGGGGAAGCCGGCGGCAUGUGCCGGCGUCCAGGGCGACCUGGUGCGGUAUUGUAGCGGUGUCACGGGGAGGAGCGCCCGUAAUCAAGCCCCGGGGAUGUAGCCAUAUCGGUGAACCUCGUUAACAAAUCUUUGUGUCAUGCUCGUGUGAUUGCUUGGUGCUCGGAUGAUCGACGGAGUGCCUCGAAUUUAUUUUAACAAGUGGUAUGAUGAGCUAGGUUGUUCGAAGGCGUUGACGGCGUUGAUAUGCGAGAGAAAUCUGAAGCGCCGUAUCAUGGCGAGCGGCGAGUUCGCAAUCUCGACGAGAUCGGACUGCACGUAGCGGCGGAUAGUACGGUCGUGUGUGCACAGAAAGCUGGACGUUGCGGCGAUGAAUCAGAAGAAAAAUCGGGCGAGCGUACAGCGGAAAAGCGUGCUAGCGGCGGCGGAUCAUGAGGAACCGCUGGACAGCAGCGUGUGUGCAGGCAAACGACGGCUGUCGUGCGCUAGAGCUACGUGUGCAAGCAAAGAGCAAGCCGGAGAUUUGUUUGGAAAACAAAACUGGACCGAGUCCAGAACUAAGUCCUCGUGUUCGACUGGGAAACCUACAGGUGCGCUACUAGGUAGCAGCAAGGGUCGGGUUACCGUACAGGACAGAGGCAGCCAGGUCCAAAUCGGAAGGGAAAAAUCCAUUGAUGAUACGCAUCUAUAUAUUGGAAGGAAAGGACAAGGCAAAGCAAAGCUAGCAUUGGAGUUUUGUGCAAGGGAGCCGAGCCACCACGUGAAGGCUAAAGAUUAUAAUUCUUUUGGUUUUGCUAGUAGUACACAGAGUGUCCAUGUGCUUGGGGCAUCGCGUGAAAAGCUUGGAUAAUUUUCCGCAGGGUCAGCCAUACAAAAGACCAUGGCACCAACGGGUACCAAGUUUGAGAUGGAGAAGUUCACGGAACUGAAAACCUUGGGUUAUGGCAGACUAGGAUGGAAGAUUUGUUGGCACAACAGGGAUGCUUGAAGGCGUUGCGGGAAGUCAUGUUAGCGGUGAUGGAAUUAUCAUGUGAUGGAUGGAAAUUCAUGAAUGAUUUGGGAGUCUGGGUCGGACUUGUAAGUCUGACGGAUCGACGCGAGUCGGUUGGUACAGAAGACGGUGGUGGGAUCGGCGACGACGACGUCGGAGCGUGAUGCUGAUGGUGACCGACUUCUGGGGCGUGGAAACACGUCGCGCAGGCCUGAGGGCUUGUGUGGCUUCGACAAGACUAUGGCAUGGGGUUGAUUCAAGAUGGCGUACGCAUGUGAGCUUGAAGUCGACGGGGCGCGAGGGUGGACUGAUCAUCUACCAUGAAGUCUUGUUGAAGGUGGAGCUGGAUUGAGGGGCUACGGUGUAAGGAUCCAGAGAAUCGAAGCCUAUUCAGCGGAUGGGAAAAGCGAAGGACACGUAAUUCGGAUUGGAGCCCAAUGGUCUGAUGGAAGCGUGAAACUCGUCAUCCGUCGGUGAUGAUCGGUGGUACUCUGCAGUGGGGGUUGAGUGGUGUGGGCUCGCGACCCUUGAGACUCGACCGGGACAGCGGAGGCUCGACGCGGUAAUAGCGGCAAGGCGUGCGGUAUGCACGGGACAUAGAGACGGGCCAGGGCUCUGGUGGUCAUACAUGUGGUGAGACAAUUGUGAAUUUGACUCGAGAUGACUACAAGCAACGGUGAAAUUUCUUCAUGUUUCAGACGGGCGGUCAAGAAAGGAGCGGUGAUGUUGAGUUUAGGUAACUCUUAUGUGUGACAUCCAAUAUGUGAGUUGUUCACUUUCACGCAGGUCAGUGAUCAGUGGGUGAUGGCGUUGGACGGAUACUCUGGAAGUUGGGAGCACAAACUAGAGUGACAAGGAACUUAAUUUUGCUCGAGUGUUGACUGUGUCAAGAAAAGAAGGGACUACAAGUUGCACGUGAAGUCAUAUGGAGUCUUUGGAGUAGCAGCGAUGCUCAUGGGAUAAACUCAAGUCCAAUGUACAUGGAAGUUUGACGCAUGGACAAAUUCAAGGUGGUGGAGAAUAUUCGCCAAGGUGGAGUUUGUUAGAGUUGUGUCGAAUAUAGUGCACAAGGUAGGUUACAGUUGGACUAUGAGUUGUAUUGUUUUUUUUUUGAAUAUUUAUGAGUUGUAUUGUGUUUACAUAGGAUGGGGAGUCGUGUCCUAGUAGGACACUUGUAUUCUAGGCCUCUCAUAUAUAGCGGGGGUAGACACACGAUGUAACCUAUGCCGACAUAAUAGCACAGGAACGCAGGGGAAGCUGGCGGCAUGUGCCGGCGUCCAGGGCGACCUGGUGCGGUAUUGUAGCGGUGUCACGGGGAGGAGCGCCCGUAGUCAAGCCCCGGGGAUGUAGCCAUAUCGGUGAACCUUGUUAACAAAUCUCGGUGUCGUGCUCGUGUGAUUGCUUGGUGCUCAGAUGAUCGACGGAGUGCCUCGAAUUUAUUCUAACAAUAACCACAAGCAAAUUAAACCAAUCAUAGCAAUUCACCGAUUACCGAUAGGACAACGAAAAUCUACUCAGACAUCAUAGGAUGGCAACACAUCAUUGUAUAAUAAUAUGAAGCAUAAAGCACCAUGUUCAAGUAGAGGGUACAGCGGGUUGCGGGAGAGUGGACCGCUGUAGAUAGAUGGGGGGAGGUGAUGGAGAUGUUGGUGAAGAUGACGGAGGUGUUGGUGUAGAUCGCGGUGAUGAUGAUGGCCCCGGCGGCGUUCCGGCGCCACCGGAAGCGAGGGGGAGAGAGCCCCCCUCCUUCUUCUUCUUCCUUGACCUUCUCCCUAGAUGGGAGAAGGGUUUCCCCUCUGGUCCAUGGUCUCCAUGGCGUGGGAGGGGCGAGAGCCCCUCCGAGAUUGGAUCUGUCUCUCUGUCUCUCUCUGUUUCCGCCCUCUAGAUUCUUCCCUUUCACCGUUUAUUUUAUAACCAGAGAUCCGUAACUCCGAUUGGGCUGAAUUUUGGACACGAUCUCUAUCCGGAUAUUAGCUUUCUUGCGGCGAAAGAAGGGCUCCAACCGCCUUACGGGGUGGCUACGAGGGUCCAGGGCGCGCCUGACCCCCUAGGGCGCGCCCCCUGCCCCGUGGCCCCCUCGGGCAUCGUCUCGCGUUGAUUCUUCUUCCCAAAAAUCAUAAAUAUUCCAAAAAAAAAAUCUCCGUCAGUUUUUAUCCCGUUUGGACUCCGUUUGAUAUGGGUUUUCUGGGAAACAAAAAACAUGCAACAAACAGGAACUGGCACUGGGCACUGGAUCAAUAUGUUAGUCCAAAAAUAGUAUAAAAAGUUGUCAAAAGUAUGUAAAAGUUGUAGAAUAUUGGCGUGGAACAAUCAAAAAUUGUAGAUACGACGGAGACGUAUCAUGGUGCCGGCGACGAGAUCGGCGCGGGCGAUCGACGGCGGUGAAGACGGGGACGGGACGUGACGGACCGCUAAACCUAUGCAAAUAUCGGGGAAAAUGGAGCUUGGAGGUCGAGCUUCGUGAGGAGAAAGCUUAACUAGUGUGGCUCGAGCAUUUCAUCGAACAGCUCAUGUGCAUAGGAGGUGAGUUAGAGCACCCAAAUGCCCUCCCCUCGCCGGCCAGAAAAAACAGAGCACUGUGGAGUGCUCUGCUGCGGCGAUGGGGUAUAUAUAGGCAAUUCAUUUGUCUCGGUUCGUGGCUGGAACCGGGACUAAAGCUCCCCCUUCUGUCCCGGUUCGAGCCACGAAUCAGGACCAAUGUAUGUGGGCCAGGAGCGAGGCCCAUUGGUCCCGGUUCGUGCCAGGAACCGGGACAAAUGGGUCCAGACGAACCGGGACCAAUACCCACGAGGCCCCGGCCGGCCCCCUGGACUCACGAACCGGGACGUAUGCUCCCCAUAGGUCUCGGUUCGUGACUGAACCGAGACUAAUGGGCUGGCCAGACUCAAACCAAAGCCCUAUGUUCUAUUAGUGUGGGUGUGCCGGCUGCGUGGGCGUCCAAUGUGGCGGGCGGUUGGACUCCCCAAACCUCCCACAAGUUUUCGGUUUGUGGAAAUUUAGACGUCUGGACUGGUCUGCGGGCAUUUAAUGCAAAGAGUGUUCACUGGCUGUGUAUUUUGAUGCACGGAGUUGGGGUGGCCCUAAUUUCAUCGUAAGGAUACGCUGAUAAAUGUAUAUGCGCCAUCAGAAGACUAUACAAGGAGCCAUUGACGAAGAAUGGAGACAGACACGUGCACAUUUAUAAACAGCACAGUCACUCUCAUUGUGUCCUUGCACAAAUUACAGUAAUACAAUUUACAAUAUGUACUGUACUGUAUUGUGUCCUAACGAUGCAGAUGUUUCAAUUUUCUAGAGUACAUAUGUUUCGAUUUAACCGGCCGAAUCCAGGCUCUUAGUUAAUACCUAAACCUAAAAGAAAUCUCUGAAGAAAGAAAGGAAUGCAGUCGACACUUAAUUAACACACCUGAAACCGAUCGAUCUUCGCCCAAGCAAGAGCAGCCGGCGAGAAAGAAAGAAAGAAAAAUCGAUCGAUCAGGAGGAUGUGUAGAUUUCUUAGACUUGGAUGAAGGAAUGGCAGGGCACUCCCAUGAGCUGCGCGAGGGAGGUGGACCGGAGCUUCCUCUGGGUGACGGCGGGGUCCUCCAGGAGGAGCACCUUGUCCUUGUCCUGGACGCCGGCCAUGUGCAGGUGGUCGCCGUCGUCCCGCUCCCGGCCCCUGUACAGCAGCCGCUGCUCCCUGGGCCACAGCCCGGUGGCCAGCGACAGCAGCACCUUGAGGUCGCCGAAGGUGGCGGUGGCGUCGAUGGACACGUCGUGCUGCCACCCGCCGCAGCCGGCGGAGACCCGCACCAGGAUGGCCUCGACGGCGUCGUCGCAGCCGUCGUCGUGGGGCGCCCGGCGCUUCUGCACCAGCAUCCCGCCCGGCCGCACCUCCCACUCGAUGCGCUCGUGCUCGGCCACCAUGGCGCACAUGUCCACCCCGCCGAUGCCGCCCACUGUGUUCCUCGACCGGCUCCUGAACAGCCUCCUCGGGCUCGGAAUCUUCACCAUCUCUGCUCCUAGCUCUCUCUGCUUCUCUCUCACUGCCUGUCUGCUCUGUGGGUGUUGUGCUGCGUGAGGCUUGAAGGAGAGAUGCUUGGGAUUUUAAAGGGGGAGAAGGUGUCGAGGACGAGGACAAGGUCGGCAGUCGCGACAGGAUAUUUGGGUUGUGACUAGGCGAAGCUUAGCGGGAAUAGAUUAGCGUUAACGGAGCGUUGUUACGCUGAGUCGCCGCGAGUGAGGCGACAGAUGUCUGCUGUUACUGAGGCGACGAGAUCGGCAGCACAUGGGGAGGUGGCAACGCGGUCUCCGCCCUGCAUCUGCAUGGAUGGCUGGAGCCGAAGGAAUCGUCCCACCAGCUGCAGGUUAGUUAGUUUUGUUGUUUACCCUUAUAUAUACUAUUUAUAAUAUUUAUAUAUACUAUUUAUCAUUUUUUUUGUUUUCUACUUUGCUCUGUUCCUAAAUCCUGUCUGGUUUUAGUUCAUUCACGAACAGUGGGAAUAUUUAUUUAUUUAUUUAUUUUUAUUUACAGUAUACGUCAUGGAGUUGUGUAUCAGACUCAUAGAAAAGAUUAAGACGGCUGAUACAACAUCUUUCGGCAUAUACAACGCUAAUCAUAGCAACAACGCCGAACCGCACCCAUCACGGCUACAACGAAAACACAACUCGCCUUCUGAGAGCACCAAGCCAUGAUCAGACUAAAUCAACACACUCUUCACCCUUAGCGUCUAAGAAAAUCAAUAAGUGGACAAUAGGACCCGACAAAUACUUUAUCCUAGAGGCGUCGACGAUGGAGUGCAUUGCGCCCCAUAGACCCAUGCCCAUGGCAUUGACCACCGCCAAAGAAACACACCACCCCAAGCCUCGCAACUGAGACCGACGAGGCAAGAAACUCCAACCACCGCUCCAUUAGACUCCACGGGCGCUCAGGCAGUGCCUCCAAGGAGGAGUCCUCCUCACUUGACGAUUCAGAAGAUGAGGAUGAAAGGAAAAACGAGACCGUAACUUUGCCGUCUGGCUUAGCGAACUAGACCUAGGGUUUCCCCUGUUGCCAAGGAAGGAAAAGGAAGGUCAUGGAAACACCUCCAAGGAAGAAAUGACACCCACGUGUAGUGCCUCACCGAGCAAGGAUUUCUUCCCCACCUAGUGUGUCGACCCUUAAGACCACCGAAGCAUAGCAGACUAGGGUAGGGGAAGAAAGUUGAUGGCUUCAACCACCACAACAUAGAGGAGAGCUGCAUGUCAUUGUGGAUGAGGAGGGACGAACCUGCAGGCCAUCACCCGACAUGGACNNNNNNNNNNNNNNNNNNNNNNNNNNNNNNNNNNNNNNNNNNNNNNNNNNNNNNNNNNNNNNNNNNNNNNNNNNNNNNNNNNNNNNNNNNNNNNNNNNNNNNNNNNNNNNNNNNNNNNNNNNNNNNNNNNNNNNNNNNNNNNNNNNNNNNNNNNNNNNNNNNNNNNNNNNNNNNNNNNNNNNNNNNNNNNNNNNNNNNNNNNNNNNNNNNNNNNNNNNNNNNNNNNNNNNNNNNNNNNNNNNNNNNNNNNNNNNNNNNNNNNNNNNNNNNNNNNNNNNNNNNNNNNNNNNNNNNNNNNNNNNNNNNNNNNNNNNNNNNNNNNNNNNNNNNNNNNNNNNNNNNNNNNNNNNNNNNNNNNNNNNNNNNNNNNNNNNNNNNNNNNNNNNNNNNNNNNNNNNNNNNNNNNNNNNNNNNNNNNNNNNNNNNNNNNNNNUUUCUUCCAUUCUCGGCAACAUUUUCUCCAAACUGAAUUCAUGUGCUAAUUGUACAGUUUCUAACUCUAACCAAUUACUCCCUCCGUUCCAAAUUACUCGUCGUGGUUUUAGUUCAUUUUGAACUAAAACCACAACGAGUAAUUUGGAACGGAGGGAGUAGUACGUUCGUGCGUCUCCGGUGAUAAGUUGAUCCAGUUUUUUCAGUACAAAGUUGUUCGUGUAUUUAAGCGUGCAUCUCACACCAUGGCGGUGAAGCAUACAUACGUCUAGGAACCAUGAAUCUUGUACGUACGUGUACGUGGCAGGAGCAUGUGGCCUUGGUUCUGCAAGAAUGAAAUGAUUCGCCUCACCUGACCCCUGCUCCGAUCCGGCCCCUGAUCGAUCGGGUAGCCUUUGUAGCAUAGCCGAAGGGAAAUGCACCCGAGCUAUCCGUAUAAUAAUACCACCACGACAUUACCACUGCACCCAUCUGGAUUUGGUCGCCAAUCAGCUGGCGAUCUGAUGAUUGCACAUGCGCGGGGGCCGGUAUUACAGGAGGGAGUAAAUAGCAUAAAACUAUCGCUUUUCGUUUUAUGUUUCCAAAAAACCAUCAUUUUUUUGUUUAUGACUGAUGCCUACCACUUUUCUCGUCGGCUGUCUCAAAAAACCCAAAUCGUCCGUUGCUAGCGUUUUAAACCGUUUUCUGACAGUCCGGGCCCGCCUGUCAGGCCACAUCAGCGCCGCGCGUUUGUUUGACCGUUAACUGACAUGUGGGGCCCACAUGUCAGUGUCCCUUCCUCAUAAAAAAGCAAGCAGAUCCCUGCAAACAUUUAAAAAACGCAAUCGGUCCCUGUGAACUUUACAAAAAAGCAAUCGGGUCCCUGUGGCGCCGUGGCCGUGAUCCCGCAGCCAGCUCGCCGACCAGCAGCCGCCGUGACGAGCUCGCCGGCCAGCAGCCAUGGUGCCACCGCGGAGGGGCGGUGAGGUCCCUCAUGCGCCUGGCGGCGGGCGCGUCGUCCUCGGAGUCGUUGGGCGUCUUGCGCUUCCUGGGCGGCGGCGGCGGGCAGGAGGGGGGCGGUGCCCUGGGGCGGAGGCGGAGGCGGGCCCGCUCGAUGUCGAGGGCCUGGAGCACGGUGUCCUCCUUGCGGGCGUUCUUGGCGGCGCUGGCCCUGCGGCGGCGCGCCGCCUGCUCCUCGGCCCUGCGGAUGAGGUCCUCCAGGUCCGCCUCCCCGUAUCGGAAGGGCUUCACGCGCUUGCUCCUCUCCAGGUUGCACCACUCGCUGCAAGGAAGGGAGGAAGGGUGAGGCGAAGGCGGAGAGCGGAGGAGGAAGAAGGGAGGAGGGAGGAGGGCGGCGUACACGAAGGCGGGGCCGUCGCGGCGGCCGAGGAGCAGGAUAGGGGUGGCCGGCGAGCGGGGCGGCGCCGGGCAGCAGUCGGGGAGCUCCAGGCGCGAGGCCACCCUGCCGGGCCACCACGACCCGUUGGGGCGGCGCACCCACACCAGCGGUGCUGGCCGGCGAGCUCGUCACGGCGGCUGCUGGUCGGCGAGUUUUCAUUAGAGUUUCUUAAAUGUUCACAGGGACCCGAUUGCGUUUCUUAAAUGUUUGCAGGGAUCUGCUUGCUUUUUUAUGAGGAAAGGACACUGACAUGUUGGCCCCACAUGUCAGUUAACGGUCAAACAAACGGUCAAAGUGACGGUUCAUUUAGCUGCGGGCUCCACCUGUCAUAAACCCGAUUAAUUUUUUAGCAACGGGCAUUUUGGGUUUUCUGAAACAGCCGACGCCGAUUCUGAUAGUUAUCAGUCACAAACAAAUUUAUGGUAGUUUUUUGGAACCAUAAGACGAAAAGUGAUAGUUUUAUGCUAUUUAUUCUACAGGAGGAGAUCGCGGCGCCGGCGGCAACGAACCGCCAACACUGUGCGGCUCUAUCACUGGAUCGGUUGGAGGCGCGCACAAGCACAAUGAUUCUCCGAGACGCCGAUGGAGGAACUGCCGCGUCAUUGGUGUCGAUUCGGUAGAGGGAUUAGUUUAGUGUGAGCGAGCCCUAGCCGCGUUCCUGCCACCGGCUCGGUUUUUGUCGCCUCUCCCUGUCCCCGUCCCUUUCUGCCGUUGGGUGCGUACGUGCUGGAGAGUGGACUUGGCGGAGGAGUCUGAUUGAUCGGGCGCCAUAGCAGCAGCUAGCUCGGCUGCGAGCAGGUUGGUGUAGAGCGAAGGAGGAGUGGUUCGGGGUUGGCGACGACCGGCGGAGGAGGAGGAGGCAGGCAGGCAGCGGCAUCUUUUGGCUUUGGGGGCUCGAGUUUUGGAGCGUCCGGCGUCGAUCUCUGCUGCGUCUCCGUGUGUCGCUGUCCACCGAAGAAGAGUUGGGGCUAAAGACAACCGCGAAAAGUGCAUCUUCGCAUCGUUUCUGUGGAGGCUUGUGCCGUUGUAUCGAUCGAUCUGGAGCAAAGUACGAUCGCGUAUACCAAUAUUACUAACCGGAGCGAACCUUUGAAUGGUUGCAGGACAGUGAGCAUCAAAUACAAAAAAAAUAAAAAUAUACCCCUACCCUCCUGCCUCCUGUGACUCAGCUAGGGUUUCCCUGCCUCUCCCCGGCGCUGCCGUCGGUCCGCCUCAUCUCCUAUGGUCCUUGGAUCAUAGAGGCGCGGUGGAUCCUGACCCUUGCCGGCGGGAGGGCUCUGUAUUUAGGUGUUUUUUGAAGUUUUGUUAGGGUUUGUGUCAUGUUCAGGAACGAGGCGGAGACGACAUCUUGAAGAUGGAAUAAGAUCCUCCCUGCCUAGCCCCCGUCUGGCGAUGUUUUCAGUGUCGUUGGAGGGCGUGUGGAGAUGUGUCUCCAACGGAUCUCAUGGGAUCCAGCCGGCGUUUGUUUUGGCGAAUCCACUUGGAUCCGGUCUUCGUUCCUCUAUGCGAUGUGUCUGCAAGUUGGAUUCCUCCGAUAUAGGCUUCUCUUCAUCGCCGCCGGUUGCUGUUCUGGUGCGCUGGUUCUAUGGGGCCUUAACACGGCAACUUCCCGACGAUUUACUACAAUAAUGUCUGUCCGGCUCCAAUGAAGGAGGGGCGAUGACGACGGCGCGCCUUCGGCUCACUCCAAUGCUUGUAGUUGUCGCUAGGUGGUCGACACACCUAGAUGUAAUUCUUACUUCUGGUGUUCUUUGUACUACCGUGACAGUUGAUGAAUAGAUCGAAAGUUUUCCCGCAAAAAAAAGGGUUAGGAAGACAGUGGUAUCCCAGCCCACCAGGGUUCAAAUCCCGGUGCUCGCAUUUAUCUUCAAUUUAUUUCUAGAAUUUUCGGCGAUGCGCGUUCAGUGGAAGGAGACGUCCCGUCAACUACGACGCGUCUACAACGACUUCGUAAAAUCUCAAGAUUAUAUGCCGGCUCAGUCUCUCGGAGGUGCUCAUAGGGGUAUGAUGUGCGUUGUGUGUUGAUAUGGGUGAUUGUAUGCACAUAUAUAUGAGCGUUUGCAUGGGACGAGUUUCUGCCUCAUACAGCUCGGGCCGAAGACCGGGGAAGUUGAGGAGAGAUGGGGAGACCCAACUGCUGCCGGUCGGGACGGACAGGAAAGGGGGCGGGGAUAAGCUUGUGAAGAAGCAAGCUUAUUGCCCCACCCCCAAAAAACAAACCGACCCAGCAAGAAAACGUAUGCGCAGGCGCAACAAAGCGCUCAUCCCUUGCUUGCUGCUUCGCGUUCUUUCUAUUCCAUCCCAGUCCAUUCCGGGAUAGGCGGCUAAUAUAAUAUGUGCAGUAGUGGUCGUCUGACCAAUCGGCUCGGACACCAGACCACUUGUGCCCGCCCAUUCUGUCUCGCCCUAAAUGGAAUGGCUCUCUUAGUUACGUUGUGCCCCGACCCGAGUCCCCACGUCCGCUUUUAUCCGCCCGCAACCCAGCCAACACAACAUUAGGGCCGUCCCCCCCAUUCUAUGCUGACCCGGGCCGGGGCUCGCUUUUUGGGAAGCCCGUUCCCACCGCGCUCACGGCCUGGCUGGCCUGCCAGCGGUAGUGGGAAUUCUCCCAUUCCCUGGUCAAAAAAGGGUUGGUUGGAUGCGGGAUCUACUCCACAAGGAGCGGUACGGACGUAGAUGAUAUCAUCACGACCUCUCUUUGCGUACCGCUAAGGAUGCUUAACGGCACUUCGCCAACUGGCAUUACCUGCGCUUUCGUGUCUCUCAGUGUGGUCAGCACUGGGUGUUUCCGAGCAGCGAGGCUUACACCCAUUCGCAUUAAUUCAUCCAAAGUUCCUUAACCUUAUGCACGAAUUUUGAAAUAGGCCAUCUUCCUAUCAAGGUUAAGGAGUCAACUGAGCAUCUCAGCGGCGGGAUUGAAUACCCGGAUUGAAUCAGAGUUCACGCCGCCCGCCCUGAACAAAUAGAAUAGGAGGCAUGGGCCACAGGUCGCACAUAAGCCAUCGGGUCGCACGACAGAAGAACACCCAACAUAAAGAUGCACACUCCUCCAUGUGAAAUAGAAAGAUUCAUCUUCACUUUUUUGUAGUAGUCGUGACCAACAGCCAUCAGCAGUCGGCUCGUUGGUAAGGCGAGAGCUUCAAGCCCGCUUUCUGGUGGCACACCCCCAAACAAGCACCACUCGACGAGGGGGGGGGGGGAAGCUACAGGCCCAAAACCUUCGACCCUUCUUUCUAUAUGGGGGUGCCCGGGGCACCUCAUCUUGUCAUUUUGUUACUCAUUCCCCUUAGGCCGAAGUGUUUGGCCUUUACUUCGGAGCGCCCGCUCACGCUUCGCUGACCUAUCGCGUGGUAAAGAGAAGAGAGUACGAAAGAAUUGUAAACAGAGCAGACCGCAGAAAGAUUCUAAAUAAGUCCCCCAUGAAUUCGAUAAUAAGGAAAUGAUGAACGGGAACGAAACGAAAUAAAGCAUUUCUAGCAGAUGAGCUUCUCUCCAUUUUGUUUGGUAAUAGAAUAGGGCGGCUUGCUUUGACCAACACUCCACUUUUUGCUCUGUCCAUGGAGCGUAUGAAUUUCCUUAAAUGUAGAUAGACCAAAAAAGGAAUAAAGGGAUAGGAAUAGGAAUUAUAGUACCAUUGGAAGAAGAGGCACCAGUGGGAACAUCUCUACUGACGAACCAUUUCAAUAGUACGGGUGCUGCCGUGCCACGGGGCACGACCAUGGAAGUAAUGAAAAAGAAGAAGUUCUGUAGUUGGACCAUCUGCUCUAUCCGUUCGAUUUGAGCUUCUCCAGAGAAGAUGAGACGCUAAAAAUGAAAGUGUUUGCAACGCAUACCGAAAAGGGUACCUAUGUUGCCGACCAUUAAUGACUAGUUCGGAGACCAGGAGCAGGGGCACAUGCCAAGAAAGAUUUGUUACUUUCCCUAUGGUUUUCGAACGUUUUCAAUAAAACCUUCUCGUAGAAGUAUUUUCACAAAGUUUUCGGUAAUAUUAGUAGAUGCUAUUCGAACCCUUCCUUUUAUUAAGAUUCGAAUUCUUAUUCUUAUUAUUAUCUAAUUAUUCUUUUUUUCAUGUAUAUGCGUCAGACACAAUCUACUAAUUGAUCUAUAUUCUGAUACCCUACUAUAUCAUAGUCUCUACUACUAGUAUUUUUAAUACCUCAGGAGCUCAUGAGUCUCUUUUAGUGAAAUUCAUAAGUCUCAAUUCCCGAGCGAUCGCACCAAAAACUCGAGUUCCUUUUGGAUUUCCUUCUUGAUCAAUGACAACCGUCAUCAUAUCGUAUUAUCAUACCGUUGUCACGUUUGAGUUCUUUACAUGUACGUACAAUUACAGCUCGUCUUACUUCUGUCUGAUCUUUCUAGAGGCAUUUUGGGCACUGCUUCUUUGAUUACAGCAACAAUAACGUCACCAAUAUGAGCAUAUCAGUGAUUACCAGCUCCUAAGAUUCUAAUACAUAUCAAUUCGAUAGCCCCACUCCAUUGCUAUCCGCUACAUUCAAAAGGGUCUGAGUGAGAUGGAUCUUGGAAGUCUGGUUUUUGAUUGGAUAGUGAUCUCGGGCACGAGUGGUUGAUCUUCGCGGGCCGUGAAUGGCCAUGGAAAGGAGUAUUGAUUUCAAUAUGUUCGAUCGAGAAGAUUGGACGAUGAAAGACGGAUCCUUUUUGGUUUGAAUAAUAGGCUGUGGUCUCGAUAUUGGGCUAUGGGCUGAUUGCUUUCCGUAUGAGCCUCUUGUGAUUGGGCUCUCGUGGGCGGAUUACCCGAUGUGUACUCAUCUUCCAACAAAGAGGAGAAGACAUAACCAGAAGAAUUGUGAGAAAUAAGUCAAUUUAUCAAGUUGAGGCAUUUCGAUUUGGAUUUCAAAUAAGAAAGACACAAAAAGACUCCUGCGCCCUCGAGAGCAUUCUCUUUCACUUGCAUUUCUUCCUGAAGUUGGCUCAAAGACCUGUCCAGCCUUGAUUUUCCCAGUUAUUACUCGAGUGCACUGAGGCAACUCUGAACUAAGCUCAGGGGAGGGGUAGUAGGUAUGCUUCAAACCCUCCGGCACCUUGAAGAACGAUGGCACUAGAUCGGGAAAGAUGAAUGACCAAUGAGGACAGGACAAUGGGGUAAGUUGGUAAUAGAGAAUCCUCCCUUCUUCUUUGCUUUCUUGCCUGAAAAAAUCCAAAACUAAUCAUUGGAACCUCAUGGGCUACCGAGUUAGGAGAUUCAUUUUAUUUAUUACUUUUACUUUUUUUACUAAGUUAUUCUAAAAGAUAAGAGCUAACCGACCAUCCUGAUUGAAUGUUUGAGUACUCGGAGUCUCUUGUAAGUAUGGAAAGAAAGUCUCUUCUUUCCACAAUUCCUAAAUUUCCCAUCAGCCUAUCCAAUCUAAUUCCAGACAGAGUCAGUAGACCUUACUUUAGUGUAGGUAGUGUCAGAUAAUUAGGAAGUCUUGAUAGUCUUUCGUAUAAUCUCUUCUUAUAUCCUAGGAGCAAAAAAGGAAUGUCCUUUAGGGACCUUUGGAUACCAAGAAUUCCGACCUCUUACUUUCGUAGUUAUGAAUUGCGGAAUAGAAUCAAUUAUGAAAUUCAUAAGUAUAUAUCCCUCAUCCCUAUUGGUAUCGGUUUGGGCCACUACCCAGAACCCUGCCAGAGCCCUAUUUUUAAGAAGAAAUUGACAGUCUUUUUUAGAACUAGAACUAUGGUAAAAUCCAGUAUCGACAGGCCUAGUUCUUUUCCUUUGCUUAUGCAGGGCAAGAAUUUGUCGAGUUCAAUCAGUACAAUAAGAAAUCCUAAGUAUUUUUUGGUCAGGCGACACCCAGAUUUUAACUGGGGAUAAAGGAUUUGCAGUCCCCUGCCUUACCGCUUGGCCAUGCUGCCAAAUCCGAUCCAAAAUCGAGCAAAAUCUUAUUCAUCCACAUUAUUUUACUAAUUUUUAUUCGUAGGAGGGGAUUACUAAAACCUUUUUGAUUUUUUAGAUCGUUGAAUCCCUUUGUACUUAUCCCUUUCCAAUCCCUUUUAAUAAAUUCAUUCCUGUUUUUAUUGGACCCAGUUUUAUUCUCUUCGAUUGAUUGUAUCUCAAAACACACAUUGCUAAAUACCUUCUCUUUCUAUUGAAAAGAGAAAGGAUUUCCAGUCAUAGACUGCCAAAUUUAGGAAAAAUUGGAACCAUUAACUAUAUUAUUUGUUAUUUUGAUAUUUUCUAUUUGUUAGUAGUGAACGGUUCUAAAAUGGGUAUUGUAUCCCAAAUAGUGUUUCCUUAAUGGCAUAACAAAAUCAAAUUGAUUUACGGCUAAUCAGUAUCAAUUAAAAAAAAGAGAAUUAUGAUAUUGAUAUAGUGUGACCUGACCCCUGUUGCUCCAAGUGAAAUUCUUUCUAGGGUUCUUAAAGAUAUUCUCCAUUUUUUCCCUUUCCCUACAAUAAAGUAUAGUCUAAAGGCUAGCACGCACCAUUCCUCGUUUAUGAUAAUCUAAGGCCAAAAAGAAAGAAGGCUCACACCAUAAUAAUACAUACCCUUUUUCCUCGAUCAUCAAGGUCGUGGAUUUGGAUCGAUUUCGGUUUUACGGGCUUCAUACAUUGUUAAGAAAAGUACUCGGCAUUGGAAAGCAUCACGUUCUGGCCACACACAAAAGAAGUCGGUGGAAGGUAUGGAAUUUCUCGGCUGAAGGUCAGAAAGAAAGCAAUCGCCAGUGCUCUCGGUUCCAGGAACGAGUCUUUUCUCCGAGAAUUAAGGAAAACAAACUAACCUUGUCUGUCUAUGUUCACCUUGACAUGAAAGACUCUUUUCCUAACCUGACUGUUCUACCUGGCUAGUUCACUUCACUUUUCGAGGGAUCCUGGAUUGGAGUUCACUUGUCUAUGAGUGUCCAAACAGCUUCAGAUCCUUCCAAGGCGCAGGGGUUCUCUCUCCAUUCACUUUGAGUUGGGUUUCUUGUGAUCUUUUUAGUAGUUUUUCCGUCCAAUUUUAUGGUAAAUUAAGUCUUACACAGCUGUCCCCAAGGAUGUCCAUUCCAUUCGGCAGGGACUCCAUCUCGCGUUCGAUCUCCCUCCUUUCCCUGAAAGAGUCGAGGUCUCUCUAGACUUCUCUUUUGCCUCUCUCCCAGAUUCAGAAAAAAGGAGGAAGAGGGCCUCUCGACGGGAGUGAUUCCCCGAAAAGAGAUCGUUCCCAGCAUCCUCGAGUUCGUAGUCAAACUCACCUUCAUCCACCUUUCAUGGACUGGCGCGGGCAAGCGCCGAUGUCUAGAGCAGGAGAUGGAAGCUUGGGUUGAGGAGGCUGUCAACGAGUCAUCAAAGGCGAUAGAUUGGUUAUAUUCGGAUUCGUUUGAUUUUGAUUUUCUUUUUUUGGUUGUGAGAGGUCUGAGUCCACAGCUGGGGAAGAGUCGUCAGAUGACAAUUGAAGUAGGGGUCUGCCUCUUUCAAAGGGAAGCAAGAGUCUCAUAGGGAAGGAGAUCCUGCACAGACCAAUCCCAAUCAGGAAGAGAGUCUUGUUGUCAAUGAAAGCAAUUUUUCUAUGUCACAUAUAUGCCUAUCUCGUGUUGUGAGCUAUAAAGUACCCACCAGGGGGUGGACCAAGAAAGAGGCAGGCGAUUGGGUCCUUCCCAUCCUCUGUGAUGUUAGUCUCUUUGUCAUUCUUUCACCCUUGCUGAGUAGCGAAGUGAGCAUACUCAAGAUCCAAUUCAUCAAUCAUUUGAGUUGGUACGAACAUAGGAAUCCAGACUCCGCUUGAUUCGAUCUUCAGUUUCGACCUUCAUCAGUCAGGAAAAAGAAGAAGGACCCACUUAUUCCACUCGGAGAGACCGAACCAGGCAACAACAAAAAAGAAAAACUGAAGGAAGUUCUCUUUCCAUUCCAACUAAACUAAGUGAAAAAAGGGGGAGAGCAAAACAGAAACACAGGAACAAAGAAACUAUGUCCAAACCAACGAGUCCUUUGGUCGACUCUAAAUAAUGUAUCAGGAGUUGGGAGUUAGCCGUCUCAUAGGAGUGAUAGCUGGGUUUUUCACAGAGUUUCUUCGUAUGAUUGAAAAAAAGAGUGCUCUAGGUCGGAGAAAACAAGAAGAAGAUUGUUCACCAGUCUGUCUCCCAACCUCUUUAAAGCAGCUACCUACCGUGACCUGGUCUUGGGACAGCAUUGGCACCCCCGUUUGCUGGAUCUUCUAGGCACUCUAAAGCGCUUCCACGAGAGAUAGAUGGACUUUGAGUUAUAGACGGAGAAGAGCCUUUAGAGGAUCAAGAGUGAUUCCUCAAUAAAACAAAUGGGAUUUUGAGGGACGGCUGAACGCGAUGUACUGAAGGGUUCGCUUUCGCUGAUCGGCGCCAGUCUUUCCUGUUGUGAAUUUUCCAGGUCGGGAGGGGCCCUUUCCUUCUACCUUACUGAACCCAUUCACCAAUGAUUGGAUCACUCAAAGCUAAAGACCAAUUCCUUCCUUUUAGGUGGUCUAGGUGGCUGGGAUACUAUGCCCUUCUUUUUAGAGGCUCAAAGACGAGUUCUUUGAAGGAAGCAAAAGAACCCAUGUGUCUCGGAUGAAGUCUACCCUCUUUUUGUGCCGGGAAGAAGAAUGAGAUCCAACUCAAAGUCAAGGAAAGCGGCCUAGACCAUUGACUUUUGAUGGAAGGCUUCUGAACAUGGAUUGGUCUGAUAAAGACAAUUUUCGGCGAAUCAAAUAUUUUCUGAGAGCACUAGACCUUCUCUCUUUCAGGAUUGAUUCCCACUCACUGCCUGAUAGCAUGCUUGGCCCAUGAGACCUAUUGUCUUAUUGUACUGGCUCACUUCACUACUUUGGAGGAUGGGUUUUUCCCCUUUUUGGUUCGCAAACGCUCUAACCCAUCGAGAAGCUCCAUCCAAAUUGGAGUUGAUGUGAGCACUUCCCCAGAGGCAGAGGCCUUUUCUACAAAAGGGUGGGAGCAUAAAAUGUAGGUGAGUCAAUUGCGUGUGGCCUUCAAGUAUUUCGUAUUGUAACAAUAUUAGAUCGACAUCCAAACAAAGGUGCAUGUACGGUUCCUAAGGGAUACAAUUUUUUCCUAAUCAUCGAGGAAGAUGAAAUAAGUUGAUAGCGCGAUCUUGUACUAACACAUACUCUCUAAAUAUUGAAGAACUUGCAUGCGGCCUUCAAGCCACAACCGCGGUAUGAGUUCUGAUCUCAGACUUUGGUUUGGGGGCUGCUGGCCCCUUCGCGUCGACAAGGAAACUGUGGACGACAAUGGGUUUAGAAUUAAAAUAAAAUGAAGACCCUAUCGAACAAAUAGAGGAAAGGGCGAAAAGGGGAAAAAGUAAAGUCUAAGCGACAUAUGGCACGAAAAGGAAAUCCAAUUUCGGUAAGACUUGAUCUGAAUCGUAGUUCAGAUCCAAGUCGGUUCAGUGAGGGCGACCGCGAAAGUCACCGAAUGGGUUCGGUCCGUCUUUUCCUGAUCUUUGUUUGUCCCCCCAAAAAAGGCGUGAGAGGACGUUGCAGAUGUCCGGGACGGACACGACUUCUUCUAACGCUAGAAGACCACAUGAAGAAACCCGGGACCAGAGCAUGUCGUGAAAGACACACACGGGGCGGGCGUGCUUCGACCGUGUCUCCGGGGCACAGUUGAAUGUAGAUAUCAUGAACGCGAGGAUAAGGAUACCAGGCCGAGAAACCCGGGCAAGUACUCCCCUAAUGUGCCGAUCGCUAGCGCAUCCAGGGCCCCGACGCCCAGCUCUGCUGGAGAGGCCGUCACUGAUCUGAAAAGUGCGUCUGCGGUUCGGAUAGACUGAUUCUGCGAACACCUAGCCCCAGGAACCAAUAAAAAAACAAGUGCUAAGUUUCAUUUCAGAUCAGUGAAUAAACCAAAAAAGAGACCUUUCUCGCUUGACGCCACACUAUGCUCCGCUUCAACAAAUGAGAGUUUUCGGUGGAACCGGUGAACCACGCGAGCUGGUUAGAUGCGUGGGGCAGAGGGCUCGUAGUACCUGAUAGCGCAGCUAUGCAGUGGAAGGGAAGGAGCCUAAAUCGACCCCUUCUUUCUUUUUUAUUCAAAGACACAAAAGCAAGCACAGUACAAAGAGAUUGGACUCUCGGAUGAGACUAAGCAGCUACCGUUCCGACGCGCCCCUGACCCUAUCUUGAUUCAAACCGAAAACCCUCUCUAAGGUGGAGCCUAGUUGAAGCUGUCAUUCAAAGAAGAAAUGGGAAUCCAAAUCCACUUUGAGGGAUAUAGAUGAAGUCUCGCUCAGUAAAGAGAGUUGUAGAUUCGUAGAAGAGGAUCAGAGUACGCGCGCUACAAAAGGCAGCUAGCCAAUGAAAGUAAGUGGAAAGAAUAUAGUACUUUUGUACUGACCCCGGAGGGGCCCCCGGUUGUUUUGGCGCGCCCUACCCCAACGUUAGACUAUUGCCUUUUUAGCCUACGCUUGCUGCUUGCAGCAUGGAUUCGAUAGAUCUAUCGAAUCCAUGCUUCCCCCGCCCCGAAGCGUGACUAUCCAGAUCUCAAAGAAUAACGAGCUAGGCGGCCGGCGGGCAAAGAAAGGGGGCGGGGCGUUUACUUGAAAAUGACAACCACCUGUUCCAGCAGCGGGGGCCUUGCACGAAAGGAAACCUACGAUUAAGUAGCAGUUGCUUUCGCUGAUGGGCCCAGUGAGGGGGGCAUUGUCCCUCAGUUCUUACCAACCUCAGGUGUGUACAUCUAACUUAUUAUCUUCUUUUUUCAUGCAAGCCUGACCUCAGCUGUCCAUUUCUUAUUCAUUCAGGGCGCCCCUAGUUGACUUGGCGGUGCUCCUUUCUCAAACCAGAACAACUCUAAACGUUAGGGAAAAUAAGGGAAGACCACCUGAGCGAACUGACCGAAGGGACUUUACUUAUCCGAACCGAACAUUAGCGGCUUAAGCUAAGCCUAUCACGAGCUGCGUUGCUGCUUGAUCGGCGGGGAGGAAGAUCUCAAAGUAUGGGGCAAAGGAUCAAGCGCUUCGACUUUGCUUUGUCCCCCGGGAUCCACCACAGGUUGGGUUUGAGAGCCGUGUGAUGGGUGACUAUCUAGCAUGGUUCAGAGAGCACAUGUAUGUAGUCUGCGCUGGUGAAUGGAAGCCCCCGCCACAAAAAAGAAGCGGCUCUUCCCAUGGCUCUGUCACCAUUGACUCUAUUUAUUAUUAUGGUAAAUCAUUGUAUCAAGAUGUCAAUCUUAGAUCUUAUUUUAGUUCGAUAUGUCCACCUACGAAACUCUCCCCUGUCUUUCGUCACGGUAGGUCUAUUAUUCUACAUUUUCCCAAAAGGACAUUCAUUCAUUUCUUUCUUCCCGGGCGAUCACCACGACUAAAACGAAAAAAAGACAAGAAAUCAAGACCCGUGCUACAGGAAAAGGGCUAGUGGCCGACAUUUGGGAAAGUCGGGCCGAUCGGGUGUCUUCAUUCAAGCGAGGUUACAGAGGAAGAACGAAACGAAGUGAGAGGCCAGGGGGCAGUGAAAAGAGUCGAGUCGAUCGACUGGGAGAAGCAAAACGAAAUCCGGAUUUGGCCGAAAAAGAUGCAACGUUAUGGAUACCAUGCCCGAUCACCAUCGAGAAAGAAGAAUUUUGAUAAAUCACUUCGGGUGAGCGGGGCCUUCAAGCGGCCUCAAUACGCCGGGGUUGUAAAUGACAUACCUUUCCUUAUGGGAAAUGCCGCCUCCUUACUAAAAAGGAAUAGAAUCAAGUUAUUUUUACUAAAGAAGUCCCGCUCUGACGGCCCGACGAGUCAUCUACUAAAAAGGACCCUCCCCGCUGUGCGCCCCUCCUUGAAUUAUUCGGUCAUGCAAUACUUUUUUAAUACUAAGAAUAAAAUGCAUUUCGACCCCGUCCUAGUUCUCAAUCAUUUCGUGGCACCGGGUGUGGCUGAACCAUCUAUGAUGGGGGGAGCGAAGGGAGGAAGCUUAGAUAAGAGAAUACGCUCUCGCAUCGCUUUUUUUUAGAAAGCUCUACUAGCGAGAAAAAGUGUUUGGCCCGAGCCAAAAAGAGGUUGAUCCACUUCAUUCGCCAAGCGAAUGAUCUUCGCUUCGCGGGAACAACAAAAACCGCCAUAUUGCUCUUUCCUUUCUUCGGUGCUACCUUAUUUUUUCCAAGGGAUGGGGUUGGGGUGUAUAAUAACCCUUUUUUUGAGUAUGCCCGGAAACAACUCCUAGCUCAAUUUAGGAUCAGAUGUAGGAACCUCAUGGGUAAGGAUAAGGUAAUGGAAUUGAUAGAGAAAUUCAUAGACCUAGGUAGGAUAGGAAAAUUAAUAAAGGGAAUAGAGAUGAUGAUAGAGAUCAUACUGAGAAAGAGGAUAAUUCCGUACGGGUACAACUCUUAUUUGAACGAAGUGCAAAAAAUGCGAUCUUUUUUGUCUAAUAGAACAAACACUAAUACCUUAAUUGAGUCGGUAAAGAUCAAAUCUGUUUAUCAAAGUGCUUCUCUGAUUGCUCAAGACAUCUCUUUUCAACUGAGGAACAACCAAUCUCAUUUCGUUCCAUUUUUAGUAAAAUAGUGAAGGAUAUUCCAUUAAUAAUGCCAAAAGGGGUGGAGGGUAUACGUAUUUGUUGUUCUGGUCGAUUAGGGGGUGCGGAAAUAGCUAGAACUGAAUGCGGAAAGUAUGGAAAAACAUCUUGUAAUGUAUUUAACCAGAAAAUCAAUUAUGCUCCUGUGGAAGUAUCUACUCGUAAUGGAAUUUCAGGUGUCGAAGUGCGGAUCUCAUAUAGUCAAAAUAAGAAGGGACGUGCUAUAUCCGAAACGUAUGAAAUAUAGUAAAUAUUUUAAAUGCAGAUGUAGUAGGGGUCGCGAACCGGAUGGUACACAACUUGGUUUUGGAAGAUAUGGCACCAAAAGUUGUAGAGUUGGCCGUCUUUCAUAUCGAGCCAUUGAAGCAGCGCGUCGGGCUACAAUCGGACAAUUCCAUCGUGCUAUGAGCGGACAAUUCCGAAGAAAUUGUAAGAUAUGGGUAAGAGUUCUCGUAGAUCUUCCUAUUACGGGGAAACCCGCAGAAGUUCGAAUGGGAAGAGGAAAAGGAAAUCCGACGGGUUGGAUUGCUCGUGUGUCCACGGGACAAAUCCCAUUUCAAAUGGAUGGUGUGAGUUUGUCAAAUUCUCGACAAGCCGCUAGAUUAGCGGCGCAUAAACCAUGUUCGUCAACCAAGUUUGUUCAGUGGUCGUAACAUAAUUGGUUAGUGGGGAAAAAGUGGGCCGGGACUCAAAAGAAUUUGGCGAAGUGUUUGUUCCUGAACGAGGGAAGUGGAAAGACAAAGAGGGAUAGGGAGCUCGCCUCCUUCUUUUUUGUAAUCGCCGAAAUUGUACGACGACCCUUCUUGUUCGAGGCAUACGACCCUGAGACGUGACGGUGUCACUUUCCGGCCCGGUAAAGUGACAGUUAUAUAAAUAAGAAUAAGAAAGAGAAGCGUGAUGUUGUCGUGUUGUCAGCAAUCAAAUUAUCGUAAAUAGAUAGUACGGUUGUGUUGUUUCAAUUUCUGUUCGUACUCUGAUUGCUGUGGCUGCAGCUCGAUCUUGGCAAAUCUCUCAAAUGGAUGUCAAAAAUGCUUUCCUUCAUGGUGAUCUUCAUGAGUUUUUUCUAUAUGCAGCCACCUCUGGGUAUUGAAGUUCCUGAUGUUCAUGUUUGUCGCCUUCGAAAGGCCCUCUAUGGGAAAAAAGCAACCACCUCGUGCUUGGUUUGAGCGGUUCAGCUCUGUGGUUCAAGCUGCUGGCUUCUCUUCUAGUGAGCAUGACCCUGCACUUUUCACUCAUACAUCUGACCGCGGUCGUACCUUGCUUCUUCUCUAUGUUGAUGAUAUGUUGAUCACUGGAGAUGAUCAGAAGUACAUUGCUUUUGUGAAGAAAAAGUUGAGUGAGCAAUUCAAGAUGUCAGAUUGAUUUUCUCUCAGUUAUUUUCUGGGAAUUGAGGUUGAUCAAACUAAUGAUGGUUACUAUCUCUCUCAGCAUCGCUAUACUCAGGAUUUGAUCUCACGCUCAGGUCUUACUGAUACACACACUGCCGCUACACCCAUGGAGCUCCAUCUCCAAUUGCGCCCUAGUGAUGGUACUCCUCUUGAGGGAUACCACUCGCUAUCGUCAUCUUGUAGGCAGCCUUGUGUACCUCACUGUGACCCGGCCUGACAUUGCUCAUGCAGUCCACAUUGUCAGUCAGUUUGUCAGUGGUUACUUGAGGGAGAUGCAAAUACUUCAUUCUUCCAUAGUGCUGCCAAUGGAAGACACAUAAAAUGUAAUAUUGCUUCUUUGGAACAUGAAGGAAAUGUUAUACAAGAUGAGAAAGAGUUGCAAGAACACAUUUCUAGUUACUAUAAGAGACUAUUUGGUUCAGAGGACAGGGGGGACAUAUCUCUUGGUGGAAGCCCCUUGGUCAAUAGAGCACAUGCUAUCAGAACUAGACAAUGAAGAGUUGACUAAGCCUUUCACUAUGGAGGAAAUAGAGUUAGUAGUUAAAGAGAUGAAAACCAAUACAGCUCCUGGCCCAGAUGGCUUACCAGUAAUCUUUUAGAAACAUUUUUGGGAGAUGGUUAAAGAUAUGGUCAAAAGAAUGCUUGAUAGCCCGCAUGCUGAGGAGUUGCAACUUAGAAGACUUAAUUAUGGGGUGGUUACUCUGAUUCCUAAAACGAAAGAUGCUGCAACUAUCAAGCAAUAUCGGCCAAUAUGUUUAUAUUAUGUUUGUUAACAAAUUGUGACUAAAGUACUGACAAAUAGGCUUGAGAGAGUUGCAGAUAAGGUGGUGAGUAAGAGCCAGACGACAUUUAUGAAAAACGGAAAUAUUUUAGAUGGGGUGGUUACUAUCCAUGAGGUGUUUCAUGAGCUUAGGAGGACUAAACAAGAGGGGGUCAUACUAAAGCUAGACUUUGAAAAAGCAUAUGACAGGGUGAAUUGGGAUUUUCUACAAGAGGUUUUGCUUAAAAAGGGUUUUCUUUAGUGAGAAGUGGAGAGGUUGGAUUAAACAAGAGGUAGAAGGAGGUGCAGUGAGUAUCAAUAUUAAUGGAGAGGUUGGCCCAUAUUUUAAGAGCUACAAAGGAUUUUUUCAGAGUGAUCUCACCUCUUAUUUUGAAUUUGGUGGUGGUCACAGAAAAGGGGGUCACUCAAGUGUACGGCAUUCUUUGUCCGUCCAGAUCGCGGUACAUGUUCGGACUGCUCUGGAUUGUAGAGGAACGAAUUUCAGGCUACUUUAGAUGGGGUGGGCUGCACCCAUUCUCGGUACGUACAAGGUGGGCACCCAUUCUCGGUUAAGAUGGGAAAUCCUAUAGGGGUAGAAAUGCUACAUGAAAAAAAAUCCGCUCUUGCUGUAUUAGGAAUUGAAAGUAAGUCAACUCCUUCCUCUUAGAGCAACUUGUCGCAGCUGUGACUACUCUUUCUAUUUGAAUUGAAUGUCAGCGAAUCACUUGUUUCACUAAUGUGACUAGUCUUGACUGCAGGUUUUUUCUUUCUAUAGAGAAGUGACUGCACUAGAGAUGCUUAUUAAAGGUUUGCUUGGUGGCUUCCUUGCUUGACAGGCUUUCCUUGUUGAUUGGCUUGGUCUGCUAGUUCCCGGAAAUCACUUCCUCUAAGUCUUAAAUAGCAGAACCUACUCUUUCUUCAAAGAAUGUAGCAUACCUAAGAAAUGAUUUCUCUAACGAGUCAAAUCCGUUGUGAAAUAAGGAAAUGCGCGGAUCGCUUCUUCUACCCUUCUCUUAUUCACAUUUCCUACUUACUAUUGAAAGAAAAGUUGUUACUGCUGCAUAGCCCCCUUUUCCUCUAAUUCGAGUGAGUCAAGGCGCAGCUUCCUCAUCUUUGCUUUAUAGUUUGAUAUAAUAUAUAAUUGGAUUUUGCUUUCCUUUAAGGAGCUCUAGCUAUCUUGCUGAUCCACCAGUUCAUACUAUUAAUGAAAGCUCUUUCACCCUGCCCGCGGGUAAUCCCUUACUGAGCCUACUCAAGCAAUCUCCCAUUAGCCGCUCUUUACUUUAUAGUCAAGCGAUUGUAAACUCCUUAUUUAGGCUAGCUACUUUGCUGAUUAACAAGAUUAUUGCAUUGGAGCUGUGACAGUUAUGUAAACUACUUCUCUAGCAAGUAAUGAAUCUGAGGUCAAAGCCAAUGAGUACGCCGGAUGUUGCAUUUUCGCAGUGAGGGAAGGUUGGCUUGACAGGCUUCGUUCUGGAUGUUGUAAUCUCUUCUCAUGGUCUUUGUUCGCUUUAUUAUCCCGUUGUGAGAAUGGCUAGGACUGUGGAUCCACACGCCCCCUCUAGUCAGUACUUUCCGAGUAGCGCAAGGCUUCUUCGUUGGCAAAUAAACGAAUUAAUGAACUAAUUUCCUAAUAUGACGUGAACGUGAACUAGCAUUGAUCAAGUCCAUGAGCUCAUAAGAAGGAGUUCUUCACGUGAGAAAGUUCACGGCUUAGCUUAAUUCAAUAAAAAAGAAAGUAUCCAAUCGACUUUAGGAGCGCCAUAUGUUUCUAUCUGAAACGGUAAAGCGAGGCUCGCUAUAAGGGUCAUAGCUAGUUUAGGAUUGGUAGGAAAGUAAUACAAAUGAUUGUAAUAUGACAACCCCCAGGGGAGCUAGCCUUUGUGUUAGGAUUAAAAAGAAGAGCCCUCUUUUCAUACGACUCGGUGAUUCCAUUGCUCUAUCCGGCCGCAAGAUUCGAUCGCGUACAGCACGAGCACGAGAUGGGUUGGGGACUUAGAAAUGAGCUAUGCUCCAAGAAUUGACCCCUGAACUACCUUUGCCCGCCUUUUCUUGUAGAAUCCAUUCCCCCUCUUUUAUAUAUUUAGAAUGCUUUUAGGGCUAGUGGAAUGAGGCUCGAACCCAUCAAUAUCGCUAAACCGGGAGAGUUGCUUGUGUUGGGUUUAAAGUUUCACUCUACCAAGGCAAGAUAUAAUAUAAUAUAAUAUAAUAUAAUAUAAUAUAAUAUAAUAUAAUAUAAUAUAAUAUGCAUCCAGCUUUAGCUGAAUACCGUGAGUGUUCAGCGAAGUAUGCUAGCCAUUGGCCUUACGUUCAGGAUACUCCUUUCUGUCUUUGCGAUGUUUGGUUAUAAGAGAAUGUUGCUCUUCAGAAAACGCGCAUAGUGGCCUUCGUCGAUGGGACAAACGCUCCAGUGUAUGCGCUACAAGACAACUAGCAUUUUGUCAUGGAAGUUCGUGAAAGAAUGUUCUUGUUUUUCAUUGGAAAAACCAACGCCGACGUCAAGACCAGUCUCCUUUCCUUUCUCUUUUCGGGAGCAGAGCUGAAAAAGAUGGACAGUAACGAUCGCGUAAUAUCAAUUUAUCGGCCUCGUCAUCGAAAGCGGCUUCUAGUUGCUCGGAAAUUCUCAGCUAUAUGGGGGACUUUGAUGGUGAGCAAAAAGAAUUGAUCAAGAAAUUGGCAAACUUUUGCAUGAUCGAUGGUAAAAGAACGAGAGUUCGUGCUAUUGUUUAUAAAACUUUUCACCGCCUAGCUCGAACUGAACGCGAUGUAAUAAAACUUAUGGUUGACGCCGUAGAUAAUAUAAAGCCAAUAUGAGAAGUGGUCAAAGUAGGAGUCGCAGGUACUAUUUAUGAUGUUUCUAGGAUUGUAGCCAGGGAUCGUCAACAAACCUUAGCUAUUUGUUGGAUCCUUGGAGCAGCUUUCAAACGACGUAUAAGCUACAUGAUAAGCUUAGAGAAAUGUUCAUUUGCUGAGAUACUGGAUGCUUACCGAAAGAGGGGAAUUUCACGUAAGAGAAGGGAGAAUCUUCAUGGACUGGCUUCCACCAAUCAGAGUUUCGCGCAUUUCAGAUGGUGGUAAAGUGAUACCACAUAAGGAACUCUUCCUCAUUCAGUCAUACUCAACAAAAGUAAGAAAUGUUUGACCCGGAUCCUUUUUUCAUCUUCAUAUAGAAAGAAAAUCGGCCUUCCUCAUACUCCCCCUUCAUUCAUAGAGUUGGAGGAAUCCACAAGAGGCCUGCCCGUUCAUAAUUGCAUAAAAGAACCAUUCUUUUUAUGAAAACUCUUGUUCCAACCUCACCUCAGGUCGAAUGAAUACGAAAGGGGGAUCAAUCAAACCAAUAAGCCAUGAUUGAAGAAGUAGUGGGCCUUCCGCCUUAUUUCGUUUGACUCGUGGAGCUGAGAAAUCUACUUCAAAGAGAGGGGAAGAGUGCUAGUCCGAAAGAACAAGCAAGGGAUGUGCGCAUGGGAGCGAAAUCCGUUGCGCCCAUGCGCAUACGUUUUCUUGCUGGGUAAUUUCUCAGAAAGUUUUUGUGUUGUUGAUUCCUAUUCCUAGGUGUUGUGCUUUUUCCCCUAUGCCGCCUAUUGGUACUAGUGGAGUAGGAUUGGCCUGUAAUACAGAACCUAUAGGUGGUGUAACCUUUCGCUCAAUACUCAAAUCUAUAAUUGAAGCAUCUGAGGCUGCAUCAAUCGAGGAUGCACGACAUAAGGAAUUGUUAGAUCUCCAAACUAAACUUCGCCUUCACCAAGCUUGGGUUUUCACUGGUCCUAACGAACGGUUGGCAAGCGAUCCCCUAUUCUGUAUCCCAAAGAUCAGACGGCCCAGAGCCGGAGCGAUCAUUCAAGCAAGUUACUCAGCUUGAGUUUUUCAGUCAAUCAAUAGAUUGUGCAGUUUCUUAGUCUUUUGGUCCAUGUCUUCAUGAGUUAUAGAAAGGGUUUCUUUCUUUUACAAGAUCAUGGAAGCUUCAGAAACCAUCCGAGAUCUUCUGGAAACAAGAAAUGUUGCAUCAAAGGGUUCAGUGGUCAUAUCAUAGUGAAAUCGAGUUUCUUUAUUUAGUCGAUAUCAAAUUCCCAACUUAGAAAUUCGAAAGGACUAAGAUUCUACUUCUUCCUCAAAUACUGGGAAUGUGGAUUCAAGUAUGAUAUCACUAUUCCACAGAUCUCAAGAAAACGAAUUGAACAAGUUUGAUGGCUGGAAGAAGAUAGGAAAUAUUCAAACAUGUAUUGCAUUUCAUCGAUCUCACCCUUUGUUCAGUGCCGCAUAAGUACUGACUUGUUGAACAGAUACCGAUACCGGUCAUGAAGGCUUCGCCCUUCUCAAGUCAAGUGCAGAAGCGAAAUCCGUUGAGCAAGAAGCCAGUGAUCCCACAACAUCGAAGUGAUACAUAUGACAUAUUGGAAAUUAGGCUUAGUUAGUAGCUGUGAAUAUAGUAAUGCACUUAUUUAUUGAUAAAUAUGUUCUUUCAAGUAGAGCAUACUCGGUAGAAAGGAGGUGGCGGAGCUGGGAAGAGGAUUAUACUUUAUCGAUUACUUGGACUUAGAGACCAAUUAUAGAAAGAAGAUAGUAGCUGAGUGAGUUUUAUGGAUCUAGUUUAUGAGCAGCUUAACUAGAAAAGCAAGCAGAAGGAAUAGAAGAAUGAAAUGCAGAAAUAGGGGAAGGGCGGGUAGCAUUUUCAAAUGCCAGUUUGAGUGAGACAGUUUCUGUCUGGCCCCCCACUUUUAGGCUGUUCUUCCAUUCUACCUUUGUCUUGCUCUAAGGUACCUGACUUCCUUCCUUUGUUCUUCCAUUCUAUGUUGUAUGAUUCUGAUCAUCAAUUCUUAUCGAUCCCAUUUUAAGGACAAAUCCUGAUGUUGGUAAAAUAUACGUUGAGGGAGUCCUGGAUUAGGGGGUCCUCGGACAGCCGGACUAUAUACUUUAGCCGGACUGUUGGACUAUGAAGAUACAAGAUCGAAGACUUCGUCCCGUGUCCGGAUGGGAUUCUCCUUGCCGUGGAAGGCAAGCUUGGCAAUACGGAUAUGUAGAUCUCCUCCCUUGUAACCGACUCUGUGUAACCCUAGCCCCCUCCGGUGUCUAUAUAAACCGGAGGGUUUAGUCCGUAGGACAACAACAAUCAUACCAUAGGCUAGCUUCUAGGGUUUAGCCUCUACGAUCUCGUGGUAGAUCAACUCUUGUAAUAGUCAUAUCAUCAAGAUCAAUCAAGCAGGAAGUAGGGUAUUACCUCCAUCGAGAGGGCCCGAACCUGGGUAAACAUCAUGUCCCCCGCCUCCUGUUACCAUCCGCCUUAGACGCAUAGUUCGGGACCCCCUACCCGAGAUCCGCCGGUUUUGACACCGACAUUGGUGCUUUCAUUGAGAGUUCCACUGUGCCGUCAUCAUAAGGCUGGAUGGCUCGUUUCGUUGUCAAGGACGACAUCACCUCUGGGGGAGCCCUGCUGUAGGCCAAGCUCACCGACUAGGCGGCUUCGUCAUGACCGCCCAUUCGGCCGCUGCGCCGACGAUGACUUCUCGGGUCAUCAAAAACAGUCUCCACGUCGGCUCGGAAUUCGCCGAGCAGAUGGAUCCAAUGGAGCUCUCUUCUUUGAACGAGCUGUUGGAUCGCAUCGCUGCCUUGGGAGUCGCUACGGACUAUGAUCGGAUCGGGCUUACACCAGACCAAAGGGAGAUUAACUCUCCACCGAUCACCCAUCAGAUAGCGGUGGUAGAGGAGCAACGCAGCGAUUCUUCCUCUAUGUUGAGGACAAGCUAUGUCCGGAUUCCCGAGCUCUCUAAGCCGGAUACACGUCUACGGGAGGACAUGGCCCAAGCUCUGAACCUAGAAUCAGACAGCGGGCCGGACCUAUUGGGCAACAAACCGGAGCACGAACUUUCAAGAUCGGACACUCCGCCGCUCCUGGGUCUCAGAUCGGGUCAAGGUUCGGACCUAAAUCUACCCACCCACCCAGAUAUAAGUGAUCUUUCCCACAUUAGAGAAGAUCCCCAAGAAACAGUACAUCACUAUUGGGCCAGAUUCCUCCUUGUAACGAGCAAGGUCAAGGACUGUCGCGAGGAAGACGCAAUUUCAUUCUUUUGCAAAAAUUGCACGGACAAGGGAAUCCUCAACGCCAUAAGUCGUCGUGACAUAGCACACUUCGCUGACUUGGCGGCCAUAGUACAGAAGUACUGUGCGAUGGAAAGCGCCUGGAAAACCCAAACAGAAUUUUGGGAUCCUCCGGCUCUCACUAAACCCCCCGGUCCGAAUUAAAAGGGUGUACUCCCAUAAAUCACCCGAUCCAAUUACAAAGAAACAAAAGCCCACUACAGGGCGUGGAACCGUAUUGGAGGGAUGGCUCAACGGGCCAUGCAAAAUUCACAGUACAGCGGAUACCAUACCAACACACAGCCUUAGAGCAUGUUGGGUACUCCGGCAGGUGGCCAAGAGCGGUGAGGAUAUCCUCAUCAACAAUACCGCAGAGCACCAUCCCGUGGAGAACAACAAUACAUUAUUGACAGUCUUCGAGACCUUCGCCUCAAAUUAUAGGCGUAAGCGAGCACUCCGCAGCCUUGCCGAAGUCUGCCACGUAGCAACAAUAAAUCCAUGGAGCGACACGGCUAUCACCUUCAAUGCCAGUGACGAACCUAAAUUCCGAACAGCCCACGCACCAGCCGCCUUGAUCCUUAGUCCAAUUGUGGACGGCUUCCGGCUUACUAAAGUGCUCAUGGACGGCGGCAGCGGAUUAAACCUCAUCUAUGAGGAGACUCUUCAAAAAAUGGAAAUAGACAGAAACCGCAUUGAGCAAAGCAGCACGACCUUCAGAGGAAUCAUCCCUAGUCGGGACGCAUGAUGCGCUGGGAAAAUCACACUAGAUGUGGUAUUCGGCACGCCGGAGAAUUAUAGGUCCGAAGAAAUCACAUUCCAAGUGGCCCCGUUCAGCAGCGGAUACCACGCUCUUCUAGGGCGGGAGGCAUUCACGAUCUUCCAAGCCAUACCCCAUUAUGGGUACAUGAAGCUCAAAAUGCCCGGGCCCAAUGGAAUCAUCACUCUAGCUAGUGAUCCGGACAUAUCACUCUGCGCCGAAAAUAAAACAGCCACACUGGCCCUCGAGGUGUUAUCCGAAGCCCUCGCGGCCAAGGAAUUAACUGCGUUGCGCUCCACAGUGGACAGGGACGACGUGAUACUCGAUAAAAGAUCCAAGUCCACCUCUUUUAAACCAGCGGAUGAAAUAGUCAAAUUCCAAGUCCAUCCAACAGACCCUACAAAAACGGCAUCCAUCGGGGCACAGUUAAACCCCACAGUAGACGCCGCACUACGGGAGUUCUUGCGCGAGAAUUGGGACAUCUUCGCCUAGCAUCCUUCUGACAUGCCAUGAAUCCCACGCAGUCUGGCCGAGCAUAGCCUUAACAUCCUAAAGGGAUUCAAGCCGGUCAAGCAAACUCUUCGGCGCUUCUCUGAGCCUAAGCAACAAGCCAUGGGAGAGGAGCUAGCCAAGUUACUGGAGGCUGGUUUCAUUCGAGAAAUAAAACAUCCGGACUGGCUAGCAAACCCGGUGAUGGUACCAAAGAAGGACAAAUCCUGGCGCCUAUGCGUCGACUUCAAGGACCUUAAUAAGGCUUGCCCAAAGGAUCCCUCCCCCCUCCCUCGCAUCGAUCAAAUUAUCGACGCUACUGCAAGACACGACUCAUUGUGUUUCCUCGAAGCAUACUCCGGAUACCAUCAAAUUAAGAUGGCGGAGUCCGAUCAAGACGCAACGACAUUUAUCACUCCAUACGACCCCUUCUGUUUUAACACCAUGCCUUUCGGGCUCAAAAACGCUGGUGCAACCUAUCAACACAUGAUUCAGACAUGCUUGGAGACACAGAUUGGCAAAACAGUGGAGGCAUACGUAAACGAUGUGGUCAUUAAAACCAGACAUGUCGAAUCCUUAAUAGAUGACUUGAGGCUCACGUUCAAGCUCAAUCCAGAAAAAUGCGUCUUCGGCGUGCCCGCCGGAAAGCUCUUAGGCUUCAUCGUCUCUAAUAGAGGAAUUGAAGCAAACCCGGCUAAAAUCCGAGCUCUGUCACAGUUGGCUAUCCCAACAGACCUCAAGCAAAUCCAGAAACUAACUGGAUGCGUGGCUGCCUUAAGCCGCUUUAUCUCCCGAUUAGGAGAAAAGGCACUACCCCUUUAUCACCUUCUGCGACGCACCGAACAGUUCGAGUGGACGGAUGCGGCCACGUACGGAUUAGAUGAAAUAAAAGCCGUUUUGGCCACGAACCCAAUCUUGGCCGCACCUAACGUCGGCGAACCAAUGCUGCUAUAUAUAGCGGCAACACACCAAGUUGUAAGCGCAGUGCUCGUCAUCGAACGAGAGAUGGACGGACAUAAGUUGCCGCUUCAAAAGCCGGUAUACUAUGUAUCCACUGUCCUCACUCCAUGCAAAUCACGGUACCCACAUUAUCCAAAGAUAGCAUAUGCUGUCUUCAUGGCAUCCCGGAAACUACGACACUACUUUCAAGAGUGUUCAAUUACGGUGGCCUCUGAAGUGCCACUCAACGACAUAAUAAACAACCGCGAGGCCACGGGCCAGAUUGCUAAAUGGGCUAUUGAGCUCCUCCCGUUCGACAUAAUAUACAUACCACGACGAGCCAUUAAGUCACAAGUCCUGGCUGAUUUCGUCGCCGAAUGGACAGGAGCCGAACUCCCUAAAGAGUACGGCGCGUACUCCAAUUGGAUCAUGCACUUUGACGGCUCUAAAAUGCUGGCUGGUCUGGGGGCUGGCGUCGUCCUGACGUCCCCCACCAGAGAUACAUUCCAAUACGUACUCCAAAUACUAUACACAGACUCCAACAACGCGGCAGAAUGUGAAGCCCUGUUACAUGCUCUCCGGAUGGCAGUCUCCAUGGGCAUUCAAUGCCUAGAGGUGUGUGGGGACUCGAACCUCGCAAUAUCUCAAAUAAAUGGAGACUUCGACGCCAAGGAUCCAAAAAUGGCGGCUUAUCGCAACGCCGUUCUCAAAAUGUCAGCUCGGUUCGAGGGGCUUGAAUUCCACCAUGUGGCUCAGGAAAACAAUUAGGCGGCGGAUAUCCUCGCCCGCAUCGGCGCUAAGCGCGACCCUGUCCCACCUAACAUCUUCUUGGAAAGGCUGUUUAAGCCAUCCGUGGUAUGGGAAGGGGAGACCGGUAAUAAUAGUCCGGACCCGGCCACAAUAACAGAUACCGAACACUCUGACGUAAUCGGAGGCUCUGCCACCGAAAUAACACCUUCCGCCCACGUAAUAAUGGCUGUCAUCGCCCCGUGGACAGAACCAUUCCUGGCCUACCUAACUAGGCAGGAACUACUCGAAGACCCAAACGAGGCGCGCUGCAUUGUGCGGCGGUCUAAAGCCUACAAGGUCCACGAGGGAGAACUUUAUAAGAAAGGCGCUACCGGAGUCCUUCAAAGGUGCAUCUCCGAAGAAGAAGGGCGGCAACUUUUGGCAGAAAUUCAUGCUGGACUUGGCGGCCGCCACACCGCAGCUCGGGCCCUUGUAAGCAAGGCCUUCCGUACAGGUUUCUACUGGCCGACGGCCCGAGCAGACGCACAGGACCUCGUUCAAUGUUGCGUUGGUUGCCAGCUUUUUGCAAACCAAAGCCAUAUGCCGCCUACCGCUCUCCAAACAAUCCCUAUUACUUGGCCCUUUGCGGUCUGGGGGCUUGAUAUGGUAGGACCCCUCAAAGGGGGAAGCCAUAAGAAAAAAUACUUAUUGGUCAUGGUGGAUAAAUUCACCAAAUGGAUAGAAGCCAAACCUGUUAAAACGGCCGAAUCUGGACCAGUGAUAGACUUCAUAUCCGGGGUUGUACACCGUUAUGACGUCCCCCACGGCAUCAUCACCGAUAACGGCUCGAACUUUACAGCCGACGAGGUAAAACUUUGGUGCAACAACAUGGGCAUCAAUCUCGAUUAUGCUUCUGUCUAUCUCCCGCAAACUAACGGCCAAGUCGAACAAGCAAACGGUCUCAUCAUGAGCGGCAUUAAACCCAGAUUAGCGCGAUCCUUGAAGGAAUCCGAUACGCACUGGGUAGAGGAGCUCGACUCUGUACUAUGGGGGCUGCGGACCACGCCGAAUCGCACUACCGGAUACACACCGUUUUUUAUGGUGUACGGCGCAGAGGCGGUAUUGCCCUGCGACAUAAUUCAUGAGUCACCUAGAGUGCGCAUGUAUGAAGAGAAAGAAGCCGAGCUUGAUUGGCAGGACAGUUUGGACGCCCUGGAGGAGGAGCGCGGCGUGGCAAAAGCCCGUUCCGCAUUCUAUCAGCAACAGGCUCGAAGGUAUCAAAGCAGAGAAGUACGGGCCAAAACUUAUAAUGUUGGCGAACUCAUUCUACGUCUACCAGAGAAGAAAAAGAACAAGCUCAAGCCCAAAUGGGAAGGUCCCUUCGUUAUUGACCAAGUUCUGACCGGUGGAGUGUACCGUCUGCGGGAUGCAUAGGACAAUCGACUCGAGCCAAACCCAUGGAACGCAGCCAGGCUCCGAAGGUUCUACGCCUAGCGCGGGACUCGGUGUUCGUCUCCUUACCUCUGUCAAUUUUUUUGUAUAUGUGUUAUCUGUCUUUUCUUUCUUUCUUUCUUCCCCUUUUUUCUUCAAGGCCUUAAAAGGCUAAAAUGUGUCUUGACUACACAAUCUUGACGCGCUAGCUGCGCUCAUGAUACCUGGGGGCUUCUUAUACAGAAGCUUAAUAUAACUAUCUUCCAGGCUCUAUGCCCCACACAUGUGUUAUUCUUCCACAUGGACCCUUUUUCGCCAUUAUAUGCAUCGAUAUGACUUAAGUUUUGGCCAAGCCGGGUUGCCUGGCUCUUGUGUUUAUGCCCUACAUUCCCGUUAAUUCGGCUAGGGCAUAAGGGGAGCACCUCUACGAUUGUUACUGCCGGGUCAGCCGGAUGUGUACCUCAGACUGGGUGAAGCUGAAAGCUAGCGUUCUUAAGGGUAUACUCAGUCGGCAAACAAAUGAUGACCUUUACUUAUUGUAAAUACAUGCCCCCAGAUGUUUAUAUCCUGCGUCUCUUUUCGCAGCUCGGACAUGCACAUUAGGGCAUGCGUACCCAGGGAAAGGAACCCUUAACGGAACUAUUCUCCCUGGAAGAUGUUUCUUACUACCCAUGUAAUAUAACAUAGCUAGUUGGGUACUUGUCUAUUCAAGCACUUAUGACCCCUACGCCUGGUUUCCACGCGUACCCCGGUUUUUACAUAACUGAGCGGGUAUUCGGAUACACUCCGGACUGUCGGGUCCAGAGGUCGAAGCGAAAAGGUCCGCCAUGACAAAUGAUUUACAAUCCGGCUAGGGACAAUACAUGUCACUUGAAGUACACAGUCACUUAGACUGACUAAAUUCUUCUUCUAUACCAUCCAACAGGCUGUCUAGCCUACAAUCCUGUUGAGAAUACUUUGCGGCUAAUUCUACUUGGUCAUACACGAAACUGACGGGGAUCUCUUUCCCAUCGGACCCCACAGGUCCAACCUCGGCCAUGUGGUUCGGGUCAGCCUUGGUAUAUCGCGUCUUCACCAUGGCCCAGGCUUCCCUCGCGCCUUGUCGGCAGGCCAAUAUCUUCCAUAAUCGGAAGCGCCGCCGCGCUCCCUUGAGCUUCUCUACAAGCUCCCCCAUGCCUCCUGGCAGGGAGGCGGAUGGCCACAAGGCUUGGGCAAUGCCCUGCAUCACCUGCCGAACUUGUUUGUGCAGUUGUAAGAGCUCUGGAAGAAGAUCACCCGCAGACCCGGGCAUCUCCUCCGCGGGACUACCUGUUAGUAUACCUUCAGACAUAACUCUGUUAGCAGGUUUCUUCGCCGAACUCUUUAAAAGUUCAUUCAAGCACUUACUGAAAAUGCCGCGUCGAAGCCUCUUAUUCUCCUUGACGGAGUCAGGAAGCUGGGCUCGAACAUCUUUCAGUUCCACGCCCAACUAGAUAUUGGCGUCUUGGAGAUCGUUUUUCUCCCGCCUAAAUUGCGUAAGCACGCGCUCACCAGCCUUUAGCUGUCGUAGAGCAUGUUGCUCAUCCGGAUUCACUCCGGGACCAUCUGCAUAAUCUAUUGUUAGAUUUGCACGCAUGCCGCAUACUACCUGGUACAUGACAUUCUUUGCAAUAAAAACAAGUGUUACCAGAUGGGGCCUUCUCGGACUCCUUCAUCGCGGCAACUGCGGCCUGAAGCUGGGCUUUGCACUCCUCCAGCUCUAGAGACAACUGGGUAUUCUUCUCCGAAAGAACCUAUGCAAACAAUGAUCCUUAAAUCAGUUGUGCCAACUGUUUCAAGUCUCAGGGGCUACUGAUAUACAUAAUUAUUAGAUUUCCUUACCCGUAUAUCUUUUACAUACUGGUCCGUGGCUCUGGCAAGACCAUUUUGAGCAGCUCGGAUGUACGCGUCUCCUGAGUUGAAGGCAUCGAACAACUCUUGGGAGAAACAAGCGUCACGGAGUACGGCCCGGCGACGCCUGUGAUUCAUGGUGCUCUCCACUUCGGAAUUUGUGGUGGAUAGCCUAUCCGCAUCCUCUGUAGGAGGAACAUCCGGCGUUGGCCCCAUGUUAGCGUCCGCCUCUAUGUCCAGCUCUGGAGCCCGACUGGUGGAGGCGUGACCGGAACCUCUCCGGAUAUAGUCCGGCGAGCGUUUUUCCUACUAGGAAACAAGGGCAUUAUUAUAUUUUAGAAGACGACCACCACGGAGCAGGGUUCUCUUUCGUACCUCUGCGACGACGUCUCAGUCCUGACCGCCUUCCUUUUAAGCCUACCCGGUUUUGGUGCCCCUUGUUGACGAGUCACUGCGGGUUCGGCAUGGCGUCCCGAGGGCCUUCCCUGUAAAACACCAUAUGUGUGCGGUAGGUGAAGUGCAGAAAAAGGGAUCCUUCUUGGAAGUUAGGGCUCCGGUUUUACUUACAUGCGAUGUGGGGAGCAGUCCCGGAUAAUCGGCUAUGAUGGCCACCAAGGUACCGUCACAGCUCAACUGAUAGAACGUUCUGUCGAUGAGCUCCACAAAUGUGUCCGGAUCUUCUUCGAGUCCGGGGUCGAGGGCCCGGUCAGGGUCCUCUGGUUGUGGAGACGGGCUGUGGACCUCCCUCACGGCUUUUCGCAUUUCUUGUUAUGAAAUAACAAGGUAAAUAGUUAUGACAAAGAAUGCGGAAAGGACUGGAGUAGAAAGUAGCAGCUCACCCAGCUUGGGGGGUUGUACAUGGAGAAUCCAUCCCGUGGCUUAAUACGGGGCGAACUCCUCUUCUUCUCCUUUAUACAAAUCGGAUAGUAUCUUCGCUAGGGCAGCGACAGAGUCCGAACCUUUACGAACGCAGCGGGUGGCGUCGUCUUCUCCAUUGAAGUGCCACAUGGGUUGUCCCCGCUAUUGAAGUGGCUGCACCCCCCGCAUUAUACAUAUGGACAUAACCUCGGUUAUUGUCAAUCCUGAUUUGGCCAGCAUCUCUAUCCGGCCCAUCAGGUAAAGGACUUCCUCGUUAUCUUCCUCCAAGGGGCUCCGAGGGCGCCAGCUGCGGCGUUUCUUCAAAGGGGCGUUGUCGAACUCAGGAAGGCCCAUCCGAAUAGGAUCUGGAAGGGGGACAUCGUCCAUAUAAAACCACUCCGAAGGCCAGUCUUCGGACGUCUUCUUCGGGGUACCGGACAGGUAUCCGGUACCGGCGAUGCGCCAUAUUUCGGCUCCGCCCACUUGAUAUAUUGACCCCUUCUGUGUACGGGGCACGAGGCAGAAUAGGCUCUGCCAUAGCUCGAAAUGAGCUUCGUAGCCUAGAAACAGCUCACAAAGGGCGACGUAUCCAGCGAUGUGUAGUAUGGAAGCAAGGGUAAAGUUAUGCAACUAGAGGCCGUAGAACUCUAGGAGCCCACGGAGGAACGGAUGGAUUGGAAAUCCAAGUCUCCUUAGUAAAUAAGGGACAAGGCAUACCCGCUCCCCCUUGGAUGGGUUGGGGAAGCUCUCCGCUUGCUCCCCGCCAUUAUAGGUGGCGAGCCCGGCUCGAACGGGAACCAUAUACGCUGGAGGGAGAAAUCCCUGGGUCCGUAACUCUACUAAUUGGCUGUGAGGGACAGAACAAUUCUUAAAAUCGCUGGGCUUAGGGAUACGGGAGCGAGAGGAGGAGCUGCGAUGGCCGGCCAUGUUGGAAUGGAUUUUUCCAGGCGCGCUCGGAUGGAUACUCGCUGUGGGAGGAUGGUGUGAUCUGGAUCUAAGAAUCCCCGUCUCUUUAAUAGACGGUUUACUCACAUGGCUAGGGUGGCAAAUGUAAAAAUGCCUUGGCAUCUCGCAUUCGCUCGACAUGUGGAAGAUAGCCAUUAUUAGGCACAGAAGCCAAGGAGUGCAACAUUUAUGAGAAGCCGGACAUUACUCAACAGGUACUCAGAAUUUGGAGAAGAACCCGCCUUGCAAUGCCGAAGACAAUCUGCGCGCCGGACUCAUCGUCAUUGAAGCCUGGUUCGGGGUCUACUGAGGGAGUCCUGGAUUAGGGGGUCCUCGGACAGCCGGACUAUAUACUUUAGCCGGACUAUUGGACUAUGAAGAUACAAGAUCGAAGACUUCGUCCCGUGUCCGGAUGGGAUUCUCCUUGGCGUGGAAGGCAAGCUUGGCAAUAUGGAUAUGUAGAUCUCCUCCUUUGUAACCGACUCCGUGUAACCCUAGCCCCCUCCGGUGUCUAUAUAAACCGGAGGGUUUAGUCCGUAGGACAACAACAAUCAUACCAUAGGCUAGCUUCUAGGGUUUAGCCUCUACGAUCUCGUGGUAGAUCAACUCUUGUAAUAGUCAUAUCAUCAAGAUCAAUCAAGCAGGAAGUAGGGUAUUACCUCCAUCGAGAGGGCCCGAACCUGGGUAAACAUCGUGUCCCCCGCCUCCUAUUACCAUCCGCCUUAGACGCACAGUUCGGGACCCCCUACACGAGAUCCGCCGGUUUUGACACCGACAUACGUGUUGAUCAAGGCCAAGGACAAUGAAGCAGCCAUGAAAAGAUUGAAGAACGAGGUAUGAUGAUUACUUCGGGCUACUUUCUGUUCUUCAUGCAAAUGACCAUAUUUUCCGUCUGCAAUAAAGGUAGAAGAUACUGAGUUGUUCAGAUGUUUACAGGAAAUCCAUGGGAAAAACUACCUGAUGACCCACACGUAUAGGGGAUCUAUCGUAGUCCUUUCGAUAAGUAAGAGUGUCGAACCCAACGAGUAGCAGAAGGAAAUGAUAAGCGGUUUUCAGGAAGGUAUUCUCUGCAAGCACUGAAAUAAUAGGUAACAGAUAGUUUUGUGAUAGGAUAAUUUGUAACGAGCAACAAGUAACAAAAGUAAAUAAAGUGCACAAGGUGGCCCAAUCCUUUUUGUAGCAAAGGACAAGCCUGGACAAACUCUUACAUAGAGAAAAGCGCUCCCAAGGACACAUGGGAAUUAUCGUCAAGCUAGUUUUCAUCACGUUCAUAUGAUUCGCGUUCGGUACUUUGAUAAUUUGAUAUGUGGGUGGACCGGUGCUUGGGUGCUGUUCUUACUUGAACAAGCAUCCCACUCAUGAUUAACCUCUAUUGCAAGCAUCCGCAACUACAACAAAAGUAUUAAGGUAAAACUAACCAUAGCAUGAAACAUAUGGAUCCAAAUCAGUCCCUUACGAAGCAACGCAUAAACUAGGGUUUAAGCUUCUGUCACUCUAGCAACCCAUCAUCUACUUAUUACUUCCCAAUGCCUUCCUCUAGGCCCAAAUAAUGGUGAAGUGUUAUGUAGUCGACGUUCACAUAACACCACUAGAGGAUAGACAACAUACAUCUCAUCAAAAUAUCGAACGAAUACCUAAUUCACAUGACUACUAAUAGCAAGACUUCUCCCAUGUCCUUAGGAACAAACGUAACUACUCACAAGCAUAUUCAUGUUCAUAAUCAGAGGGGUAUUAAUAUGCAUAAAGGAUCUGAACAUAUGAUCUUCCACCAAAUAAACCAACUAGCUUCAACUACAAGGAGUAAUCUACACUACUAGCAACCUACACGUACCAAUCCCGGACUUGGAGACAAGAAUUGGAUACAAGAGAUGAACUAGGGUUUGAGAGGAGAUGGUGCUGGUGAAGAUGUUGAUGGAGAUUACCCUCUCCCGAUGAGAAGAGCGUUGGUGAUGACGAUGGCGAUGAUUUCCCCCUCCCAGAGGGAAGUGUCCCUGGCAGAACAGCUCUGCCGGAGCCCUAGAUUGGUUUCGCCUCGUGGCGGCGGAGUCUCGUCCCGAAAGGUUGCUUAUGAUUUUUUCCUGGACGAAAGACUUCAUAUAGCAGAAGAUGGCCACCGGAGAGCCAACAGGGGGCCCACGAGGCAGGGGCGCGCCCUGGGGGGUAGGGCGCGCCCCCACCCCCGUGGAUAGGUGGUGCCCCCCCUGACGUAUUUCUUCCGCUCAGUAUUUUUUAUUAUUUCCAAAAAUAACUUUCAUGGAGUUUCAGGAAUUUUGGAGUUGUGCAGAAUAGGUCUCUAAUAUUUGCUCCUUUUCCAGCCCAGAAUUCCAGCUGCCGGCAUUCUCCCUCCUUAUGUAAACCUUGUAAAAUAAGAGAGAAUAGGCAUAAUUAUUGUGACAUAACGUGUAAUAACAGCCCAUAAUGCAAUAAAUAUUGAUAUAAAAGCAUGAUGCAAAAUGGACGUAUCAACUCCCCCAAGCUUAGACUUCGCUUGUCCUCAAGCGGAAGCCGAUAACGAUAAAUAUGUCCACAUGUUUAGUGGUAGAGGUGUCGAUAAAAUAAAAUACGGACAUGGGGGCAUCAUGAUUGUUCUCAUGACAGCAACAUAUAUGGAUAUUUUCAUAUGAUUUCUUAUGCUCAAGUAAUAAUCUAUUCACAAUGCAAAGUACGAAUCAGAAACUUUAUUGAGAACUAACAAACUAUAAUCUUAGUCAUUGAAGCAAUUGCAAUUUAUCAUAACAUCAGAAAGAGUCUAUGUCCGAGCUUCCUAGUAAGUCCACAUACUCAACUAUCAUUUAGUCUUUCAUAAUUGCUAACACUCACGCAAUACUUGUGGUUACGGAGUUUUAAUCGGACACAGAGAAAGAUAGGGGCUUAUAAUUUCGCCUCCCAACCUUUUACCUCAGGGGUAAUGUCAACAAUAAUAAUUCAUGCUAACCCAUAUCCAAUUAGAUAUAUGUAUCAGGAUCUUUCCAACAUACUGUGCUUGCCAAAGAAUAAAAUGUUAAAAGGAAAGGUGAAGAUCACCAUGACUCUUGCAUAAGGUAGAAGAUAAUAAUAAAAGAUAGGCCCUUCGCAGAGGGAAGCAGAGGUUGCCAUGCGCUUUCAGGGUUGGAUGCACAAAAUCUUAAUGCGAAAGAACGUCACUUUAUACUACCACUUGUGAUAUGAACCUUUAUUAUGCAGUCCCUCGCUUUUAUUUCUUCCACAUCACAAGAUCGUAUAAAGCUUAUUUCCUCCACACCAAUCAAUCAUACAUAUUUAGAGAGCAAUUUUUAUUGCUUGCACCGAUGACAACUUACUUGAAGGAUCUUACUCAAUCCAUAGGUAGAUAUGGUGGACUCUCAUGGCAAAACUGGUUUAAGGGUUUUUGGAAGCACAAGUAGUAUCUCUACUUGGUGCAAAGAAUUUGGCUAGCAUGAGGGGGAAAGACAAGCUCAACAUGUUGGAUGAUCCAUGACAAUAUACUUUAUCUCAGAUAUAAGAAAACAUAACCCAUUACGUUGUCUUCCUUGUCCAACAUCAACUCUUUAGCAUGUCAUAUUUUAAUGAGUGCUCCCAAUCAUAAAAGAUGUCCAAGAUAGUAUAUUUAUAUGUGAAACCUCUCUUUCUUUAUUACUAUUAAUUGCAACGAUGACCAAAGCUAUGUUUGCCAACUCCCAACAAUUUUUAAUCAUCAUACUCUUUCUAUGUGAGCUCAUUACUCUCAAUAAGAUCAAUAUGAUCUCUUUAUUUCUUUUUAUUAUUUUUCUCUUUUCUUUUAUUCACUCAAGAUCAUAGCAAGAUAAUCAAGCCCUUGACUCAACACUAAUCUUUAUUAUAUAGCUCACGAACUCGAUUACAUAGAGAGAUCAUAAAGCAAAACACAAAACUAGAUCAUGCCAUAAACUUUAUUCUACUAGAUCAAGAUACUACUAAUAGGAUUGAACUAAGAAAAAUGGUAAAGAUAGGAGUGUGAUGGUGAUACGAUACCGGGGCACCUCCCCCAAGCUUGGCAGUUGCCAAGGGGAGUGCCCAUACCCAUGUGAUUAGGUCUCCUUUGUUGGUGAGGAAGGUUUAGUUGAUGGCGUAUGCUUCAUCCUUAAUUUGCGCUUGAGGACAGAAUUUUGAUCCCUCAGGUCAUCAAUCUCCAGCUCCAGGCUUAAUAUCUUUUUGCAUAGUUCCUGCUUGUUUUCCUGCAAGAGACGAAAAGGGAUAAUCUCGAUCUUAAGUUUCUUUGCUCUAUCAGGGAGGCUUGACUUUUUGAACUCCACAUGCAUGUCCCCAGGUUGAGGUAAUGGGACUUCAUCUUCGUCUGAGCUCGUCUCCUCCCUCCUCUUGGGUUCACAGUCCUCUUCUUCUUCUGUAGUCCAACCACAAUGCUCCACAUCUCCAUAGAACUUAGGAUUUGCAAGGUAAUCAGCCACAUAGCUUUCUCCUUCAGAAUCCUGGCAUGACAUGUUGCUCUAAUCUGCAGCAGGACAGCUCGAAACGAAAACAGAGGAUAUUUGCGUGAUAGAGGAGUCAAAACCUUCGGGAGAUUAUAUAAUGAAUUUUUACCGACCAAAAUACGUAUCGUGCAAGAAAACGGAGUCUGGAGAGCGCACGAGGUGCCCACGAGGUAGGGGGGUGCGCCCAGUAUGGUAGGGCGCGCCCUCCACCCUCGUGGAGGCCUCGUGUCCUUCCCGGACUGCUUCUUAUUUUCCUAUUUUUCUAAAUAUUCCAAACGGAGAAAUAUUGCCAUAAAAAUUGUUCUGGAGUCGGUUUACUUACCGUACCACAUACCUAUUCCUUUUCGGAGUCUGAAGAGUUUCGGAAAGUGUCCCUUAUGUAUUCCUCCGGGGUUACGGUUUCAAUAACAUUGGUUUCAACAUUUAUGGGAUUACCUGAGAUAUAAUGUUUGAUUCUUUGACCGUUCACCACCUUCGGAUUUGUGCCUUCGAAGUUGUUGAUUUUUAUGGCACCGGAACGAUAGACCUCCUCGAUAACAUAGGGGCCUUCCCAUUUAGAGAGAAGUUUUCCUGCAAAAAAUCUUCAACGAGAAUUGUAUAGCAAUACAUAAUCACCUACAUUAAACUCACGCUUUUGUAUCCUUUUUUCAUGCCAUCUUUUAACUUUUUCUUUAAACAACUUGGCAUUUUCAUAAGCUUGGGUUCUCCAUUCAUCAAGUGAGCUAAUGUCAAAUAACCUCUUCUCACCGGCAAGUUUGAAAUCAUAAUUGAGCUCUUUAAUAGCCCAAUAUGCCUUAUGUUCUAGUUCGAGAGGGAAGUGACAUGCUUUUCCAUAAACCAUUUUAUAUGGAGACAUACCCAUAGGAUUUUUAUAUGCAGUUCUAUAGGCCCAUUAUGCAUCAUCAAGUUUCUUGGACCAAUUCUUUCUAGAUCUAUUGACAGUCUUUUGCAAAAUUAAUUUGAGCUCUCUAUUACUCAAUUCUACUUGACCACUAGACUGUGGGUGAUAAGGAGAUGCAAUUCUAUGAUUAACAUCAUAUUUAGCAAGCAUUUUACGGAAAGCACCAUGAAUAAAAUGUGAACCACCAUCAGUCAUUAAAUAUCUAGGGACUCCAAACCUUGGAAAAAUAACUUCCUUAAGCAUCUUAAUAGAAGUGUUAUGAUCAGCACUACCAGUUGGAAUAGCUUCUACCCACUUAGUAACGUAAUCAACAGCAACUAAAAUAUGUGUGUAACCAUUAGAGGCAGGAAAAGGUCCCAUAUAAUCAAAGCCCCAAACAUCAAAUGGUUCAACAACAAAUGAAUAAUUCAUAGGCAUUUCUUGACGUCUACUAAUAUUACCAAUUCUUUGACAUUCAUCACAAGAUAAGACAAACUUACGGGCAUCCUUGAAGAGAGUAGGCCAAUAAAAACCGGAUUGCAAUACCUUAUGUGCAGUUCUAUCUCCAGCGUGGUGUCCUCCAUAAGCUUCGGAGUGACACUUGCGUAGGAUCUGUUCCUGUUCAUGCUCAGGUACACAACGUCUAAUAACACCAUCUACUCCUUCUUUAUAAAGAUGUGGGUCAUCCCAAAAGUAAUGUCUCAAAUCAUAGAAAAACUUUUUCUUUUGCUGGUAUGUGAAACUAGGUGGUAUAAAUUUAGCCACAAUAUAAUUAGCAUAAUCAGCAUACCAUGGAGCAGUACGAGAAGCAUUUAUUACAUUUAAUUGCUCAUCAGGAAAGCUAUCAUCAAUAGGUAGUGGGUCAUCAAGAACAUUUUCUAACCUAGACAAGUUGUCUGCAACGGGGUUCUCAGCUACCUUUCUAUCAACAAUAUGCAAAUCAAAUUCUUGUAGCAAGAGAACCCAUCUAAUAAGUCUAGGUUUAGCAUCUUUCUUUUCCAUAAGAUAUUUAAUAGCAGCAUGAUCCGUGUGAAUAGUUACUUUAGAAUCAACAAUAUAAGGUCUGAACUUAUCACAAGCAAAUACGACUGCUAAAAAUUCUUUUUCAGUAGUAGCAUAAUUUCUCUCAGCAUUGUCUAGAGUUUUACUAGCAUAUUGAAUAACAUUUAAUUUCUUAUCAACUGUUUUCCCUAGAACAGCACCUACAACAUAAUCACUAGCAUCACACAUAAUUUCAAAGGGUAAAUUCCAAUCAGGUGGCUGAACAAUAGGUGCAGAGAUCAAUGCUUUCUUAAGUAUUUCAAAUGCUUCUACACAAUCAUCAUCAAAGACAAAUGGUAUAUGUUUUUGUAAUAAAUUAGUCAGAGGCCGAGAAAUUUUUGAGAAGUCCUUAACGAACCUCCGAUAAAACCCGGCAUGACCAAGGAAACUUCUUAUACCUUUGAUGUCCUUGGGACAUGGCAUCUGUUCAAUAGCAUCAACCUUGGCUUUAUCAACCUCAAUACCUCUUUCAGAAACUUUAUGCCCCAAGACAAUACCUUCAUUAACCAUAAAGUGGCACUUUUCCCAAUUCAAGACAAGAUUAGUUUCUUCACAUCUCUGCAGAACUCGAUCAAGGUUGCUCAAGCAAUCAUUAAAAGAGGAUCCAUAGACGGAGAAGUCGUCCAUGAAAACCUCACAAAUCUUUUCACAAAAGUCAGAGAAUAUAGCCAUCAUGCAUCUUUGAAAGGUGGCAGGUGCAUUACAUAAACCAAAAGGCAUACGUCUAUAAGCAAAAGUACCAAAAGGGCAAGUAAAAGUAGUCUUUGAUUGAUCAUUGGCUGACACAGGUGUUUGAGAGAAACCAGAAUAACCAUCUAGAAAGCAAAAAUGUGUAUGUUUGGAUAAUCUUUCUAGCAUUUGAUCGAUAAAAGGGAAGGGGUAAUGAUCUUUCUUAGUAGCCUUAUUUAAUUUGCGGAAAUCAAUUACCAUCCUAUAACCUGUAAUAAUUCUUUGCGGAAUCAAUUCAUCUUUAUCAUUAGGAACGACGGUAAUACUUCCCUUCUUAGGGACACAAUGGACAGGACUUACCCACUGACUAUCAGCAAUGGGAUAAAUUAUACCUGCCUCAAGGAGCUUUAGUAUUUCUUUUCUUACCACUUCUUUCAUCUUAGGAUUCAGCCAUCGUUGAUGAUCACGAACUGGUUUGGAAUCUUCUUCCAAAUUUAUUUUAUGUUGACAUAGAGUGGGACUAAUGCCCUUAAGAUCAUCAAGAGUAUAUCCAAUAGCAGCACGGUGCUUCUUCAAAGUUUUCAAUAAUCUUUCUUCUUCAUGCUCUGAUAGGUUAGCACUAAUAAUAACAGGAUAUAUCUUUUUCUCAUCAAGAUAAGCAUAUUUAAGAGUAUCAAGUAACGGUUUGAGCUCAAACACGGGAUCACCCUUGGGUGGAGGAGGAUCCCCUAGGAUUUCAACAGGCAAAUUGUGUUUCAGAAUGGGUUCCUGUUUAAAGAAUACUUCAUCUAUUUCCCUCCUUUCAUUCAUAAACAUAUCAUUUUCAUGGUCUAGCAAAUAUUGUUCUAAAGGAUCACUAGGAGGCACGGCAAUAGAAGCAAGACCAAUAAUUUCAUCCUUACUAGGCAAUUCCUCUUCACGGUGUUGUCUACGAAAUUUAGAGAAAUUAAACUCAUGAGACAUAUUACCUAGACCAAUAGUAACAACAUCCUUUUCGCAGUCUAUCCUAGCAUGAACGGUGUUCAAGAAGGGUCUACCAAAUAUAAUGAGACAAAAGCUAUCUUGUGGGGAACCAAGAACAAGAAAAUCAGCAGGAUAUUUAGUUUUCCCUCACAAGACUUCAACAUCUCUAACAAUUCCCAUUGGUGAAAUAGUAUCUCUAUUGGCAAGUUUAAUUGUGACAUCAAUAUCUUCUAACUCAGCAGGUGCAAUAUCAUGCAUAAUUUCUUUGUAUAAGUCAAAAGGUAUUGCACUAGCACUAGCACCCAUAUCACAUAAUCCAUGAUAACAAUGAUCUCCUAUUUUAACAGAAAUAACAGGCAUGCCUACCACAGGUCUAUGUUUAUCUUUAGCACAAGGUUUGGCAAUUCUAGAAGUUUCAUCACAAAAAUAAAUAACAUGCCGAUCAAUAUUAUCUGCCAAGAGAUCUUUAACAAUAGCAAUAUUAGGUUCAACUUUAAUUUGCUCAGGAGGUGUAUAAGUUCUAAUAUUGCUUUUACAAACCACAGUUGAAGCUUUAGCAUGAUCCUUUAUUCUGACAAGGAAAGGUGGUUUCUCAACAUAAGAAGUAGGAACAAUAGGAUCAUUAUAAGUGACAGUCUUUUCUUCAACUUUAAUAGGUGCAGCUACUUUUACUUCUAUGGGAGGAUGAUAUUUAAACCACUUCUCCUUAGGGAGAUCAACAUAAGUAGCAAAAGAUUCACAGAAAGAAGCUACUAUCUCAGAGUCAAGUCCAUAUUUAGUGCUAAACUUACGGAAAACAUCGGUAUCCAUAAAAGAUUUAACACAAUCAAACUUAGGUGUCAUACCUGACUCCUUACCUUUGUCGAGAUCCCAAUCUUCAGAGUUGCGUUUAAUUCUAUCCAAUAAAUCCCAUUUGAAUUCAAUAGUCUUCAUCAUAAAAGAGCCAACACAAGAAGUAUCGAGCAUGGUGCGAUUGUUAUCAGAAAGUCGAGCAUAAAAACUUUGAAUAAUUAUUUCUCUUGGGAGCUCAUGAUUGGGGCAUGAAUAUAACAUUGAUUUAAGCCUCGCCCAAGCUUGAGCGAUGCUUUCUCCUUCGCGAGGCCAAAUAUAUAUAUAUAUAUAUAUAUAUAUAUAUAUAUAUAUAUAUAUAUAUAUAUAUAAAAUUGCGAUCACGAUGAACAAGAUGCAUAGGAUAUUUUUUUUGAUGAAAUUCCAAUUUCAAUCGUUUAUAGUUCCAUGAUCCCGUAUCAUCACAUAGCCUAUACCAUGUCGAUGCAUCUCCCUUCAAAGAUAAAGGGAAGACCUUCCUCUUAAUAACAUCACCGGGUAUACCUGCAAGCUUAAAUAAUCCACAAACUUCAUCCACAUAUAUUAGGUGCUCAUCAGGAUGCUUUGUUCCAUCUCCUGCAAAAGGAUUAGCUAGCAGUUUUUCUAACACACCCGAAGGAAUCUCAAAGUGAAUAUUUUCAUUUUCAUUUUCAGUAGGUUUAGUAGGUUGAGGAGCAACUCUUUGCUCUACUGGUCGGGGUGAAGAUACCCCGAACAAGCCCCUCAGAGGAUUACUUUCCAUAGUAACAAGUGACAGUAAAUUUCAGCACACUAUAUAAAUUCGUCCUUACCAAAUUCCACCUACCAAAGGCGCUUCACUCCCCGGCAACGGCGCCAGAAAAGAGUCUUGAUGACCCACAAGUAUAGGGGAUCUAUCGUAGUCCUUUCGAUAAGUAAGAGUGUCGAACCCAACGAGCAGCAGAAGGAAAUGAUAAGCGGUUUUCAGCAAGGUAUUCUCUGCAAGCACUGAAAUGAUAGGUAACAGAUAGUUUUGUGAUAGGAUAAUUUGUAACGAGCAACAAGUAACAAAAGUAAAUAAAGUGCAGCAAGGUGGCCCAAUCCUUUUUGUAGCAAAGGACAAGCCUGUACAAACUCUUAUAUAGAGAAAAGCGCUCCCGAGGACACAUGGGAAUUAUCGUCAAGCUAGUUUUCAUCACGUUCAUAUGAUUCGCGUUCGGUACUUUGAUAAUUUGAUAUGUGGGUGGACCGGUGCUUGGGUGCUGUUCUUACUUGAACAAGCAUCCCACUUAUGAUUAACCUCUAUUGCAAGCAUCCGCAACUACAACAAAAGUAUUAAGGUAAAAAUAACCAUAGCAUGAAACAUAUUGAUCCAAAUCAGCCCCUUACGAAGCAACGCAUAAACUAGGGUUUAAGCUUCUGUCACUCUAGCAACCCAUCAUCUACUUAUUACUUCCCAAUGCCUUCCUCUAGGCCCAAAUAAUGGUGAAGUGUUAUGUAGUCGACGUUCAGAUAACACCACUAGAGGAUAGACAACAUACAUCUCAUCAAAAUAUCGAACGAAUACCAAAUUCACAUGACUACUAAUAGCAAGACUUCUCCCAUGUCCUCAGGAACAAACGUAACUACUCACAAAGCAUAUUCAUGUUCAUAAUCAGAAGGGUAUUAAUAUGCAUAAAGGAUAUGAACAUAUGAUCUUCCACCAAAUAAACCAACUAGCAUCAACUACAAGGAGUAAUCAACACUACUAGCAACCUACAGGUACCAAUCCCAGACUAGGAGACAAGAAUUGGAUACAAGAGAUGAACUAGGGUUUGAGAGGAGAUGGUGCUGGUGAAGAUGUUGAUGGAGAUUGCCCUCUCCCGAUGAGAGGAGCGUUGGUGAUGACGAUGGCGAUGAUUUCCCCCUCCCAGAGGGAAGUGUCCCCGGCAGAACAGCUCUGCCGGAGCCCUAGAUUGGUUCCGCCUCGUGGCGGCGGAGUCUCGUCCCGAAAGGUUGCUUAUGAUUUUUUCCUGGACGAAAGACUUCAUAUAGCAGAAGAUGGCCACCGGAGAGCCAACAGGGGGCCCACGAGGCAGGGGGCGCGCCCCCACCCUUGUGGACAGGUGGUGGCCCCCUUGACGUAUUUCUUCCGCUCAGUAUUUUUUAUUAUUUCCAAAAAUAACUUUCGUGGAGUUUCAGGAAUUUUGGAGUUGUGCAGAAUAGGUCUCUAAUAUUUGCUCCUUUUCAAGCCCAGAAUUCCAGCUGCCGGCAUUCUCCCUCCUUAUGUAAACCUUGUAAAAUAAGAGAGAAUAGGCAUAAGUAUUGUGACAUAACGUGUAAUAACAGCCCAUAAUGCAAUAAAUAUCGAUAUAAAAGCAUGAUGCAAAAUGGACGUAUCACUACCACAGCUUUGUGUUAAGCAAGCAAGUUCUUCGUUGGUAAUUUCAGGGAAGCCUACAUUGGCAUUGCUCCUGAGUUAGCCAAAGAGAUCGCGAAAGAAGUGGAUGUUAUCGUAAACUCUGCAGCAAAUACCACUUUUGAUGAGAGGUUCGUGAAGCUAUACUAGUCUUGCACCAAGGAUUGCUUCCAUUACUAAAUGUGUAAGUUCACAUUCCAUAGCAAUAAAAGUAUUGCAACUUGCAGGUAUGAUGUAGCACUAGACAUCAACACCGUGGGGCCAUUCCGGAUAAUGAGUUUCGCACAGCGGUUUCGAAGACUAAAGCUCUUCUUGCAAGUAUCAACAGGUCAGAAUGCCAAAUAAGAGUUUCUUGUGGUCCAAAUCAAAUGGUAACCUGUUUCUAUUAAUCUCAAAAGCUUACAAACAAGCUUUAGCAGUAUGUUUGCAUGUCAUGUUUUUGGCCAAACAUCAUAUGUGAAUGGGCAGAGGCAAGGUUUGAUACUAGAGAAGCCAUUUUUCUUAGGGGAUACCAUAACAAGGGGAUAGGUUCCAAAAGAUUUUUCGGCACAUCAGAAUACCGUGUGGGAUAUCGAGGCUGAGAUCAAGUUGGGUUUUGACUCUAGAAGGCAUUCUUCUGCCUCUGCUUCUGUUACUCAAGAAAUGAAAGAGUUAGGUACUCAAAGUAUUCUAGUAUUUCCCUGUUACCUUCUCAUGUCUGUAGAUACGAAUACACACAUGAAGUAUUUGAUUUGUGCAAUUUAUUUAUUCAUAGGGCCAAACUCUAUGGUUGGCAAGACACUUAUGUGUUCACAAAGGCUAUGGGCGAGAUGGUCAUCAACUGCAUGCGAGGAGAGAUACCGGUGGUAACAAUCAGGCCAAGUGUCAUAGUGAGCACAUGGAGGGAUCCCUUCCCAGGUUGGAUGGAAGGAAACAAGUAAAUGCUAAACCCAAAUCUGAGGUUGCGGAUGUCACAUAUAUAUGUGAUGCAUCCUCGUCUGCUUAACAGAUAAUGAGCUAUUUCCAGGAUCUAGCAGUGCGUACUAACUUUUGACGGGUUGAUGGUGAGGAUCAAGUAUAUGACCUAUAUUCCUCACUAUUAGAGGACUUCAAAGAGGAGAUUCCAUCAUAAUCUCUGGAAGCUAGUGUCAAGGAAGCCGUUAGCCGUCACCUUAACUGAAAGUUGGUGAAGAAGGUGUAUAUGCCUCUUGUCUAUGGUAAGACACAACAUAGUGCAGCAGCGGACAUCCAGAAGGGGCUUGACUUCAUUAGAAAACGUGCUGAAAGCAACAAAGUGGCGGACAUUUUUUUUGCAUUCUGGGACAAGAAAUUCCCAGCCAUUGCUAGGCUGAGCCAUGUUAGCGAAGAAUGGUUUCUCCAACAAUAUGAGGAUAAAUCCCUUACUAAAAUGGUAGUGGUCACAAACCCCUUCCGUGUACAAUUGAAAACAUUAACAAUACGAAAGCAAGAAUCAUCAUUUAUACUGGGAAUGCCUUCCUCUACAAAAAGAGAAUGAGUUGAAGAUAACGAAGGAAAGUGGGUGGAUACAAAACCAGUUCAUAUCACUUGUCUUUCUAGUCUUUCAGAAUCUCAUCGAAUACUAGUAAAUGCUUUCGAAGAGAAAAUAGAAGCACUAGAGAGCUCAAGUUCACUUCAUUCAUCACAAGAUGCAAAUGAUAAUAAAAAUGGAGCUAAUGAGGUAGAAAUCACUUCUUCUUAAACUUUUUUGAGUGAAAUACCAACCAACACAUAAAGCAAUAACCAGAUAGAUAGAAUGAUAAUAGGUAAUACGAAGAUAUCAACACAGCGGGAGUCACGAGGCUCGAUAAUGACCAAUGGGUUAGGAUCUAAGGAAGCUUAGUUUGGAUGAUGGAAUAUUCACUAUUCUGAUUGUUGAGAUACUGCAAAUCCACUUAUCCAACAAUUUCAGUCCAUUUUCCUACUUUUUCUGCAAGGGGUUCAAGGGGAAAGCAUUAUUAUAUCCUUAAUAUGACUCUCUGUCACACUGAUGCUGCUGGGCUGCUAGAAAACCCCUAUAGUCGAAAAAAGAUCGAAACAGGGAUAAAACGUAGGAUAACCUAGAUCACUGGGACUAGCUGAACUCUCCAGAACAAACACAACCUAGAUGGUUUGACUAAUGUUUUGGCACAUUAGACUAACCUAAGACAACUCCUAGCUACAUUCAGUCCAAUCGAGAUACAAGCUGUUACCAACCUGAUACAACGCAAGUCACAAGCUUGACACAGCGAGAAUGGCUGCAACUGACAACUCCUGCAUCUGAGAUUGACAACUCUAGUAACAGAGAAUGACAACUCCUACAACAGAUAUUGACAGAGCAUGACACUCUCAACUGAGCUCAAUCCAGCUGUGAACAAUAAACAACACUGAAAGUAAACAACACGGUUAUCACAAAACUUGGAUUCCGGAUUACAACACUAUAGGCAAUGAACCACCACUAACGGCCCAUAACGUUAGCUGAUAGCCGCUGACGGUGGAGUACUUGCCGAUCCAUCAGCAAGGACUGUAUCAUUUAGCGAGCUAAAAACUUAAGGAACAUGUAUGUGAGAGUUCCACUUUAGCUCCCUCAACACCAGGCGGGACGAGCAGCCCUAUACCACGUGUAGCCACACUCUAGUGUCCUUUUCUACUUAGUUGGACAGAUCACUUCAGAAAAUCAUAUAAAAAUCAAGCAAGAAAACGGAUGCGCUAAUGCGCAACGGCUUUUGCGCUAGUCGCUCAAAAAAUCGUAUAAAAAUCAAGCAAGAAAACGGAUGCGCUAACGCUCAACGGCUUUCGCGCUAGUUGCUCAAUCCGUUGCUUGCUUCUCUUCUGUCUUGGAAAAGUGAGGAUUUCCUAUCUGAUCCAAGGGAAGGAAGAGGUGGAAAGUGUUGCUGUGUCAAAUCGAGAUUGUGUGGGUGUCCGCUCAUGUUCGACGCUAUCGAAAAUCAUGCAUUGGAUGGAUGCCCGGGCAUUGAGAAGGAAGGACGCUUUCAGAGGCGAAAGGCCAUGGGGAGAGAUUUUUCUGUGAUCCAUGGAUCUCCGAUCGGGAAACCGUAUCCAAGCUCCAUGGCUAGUCUGCGCUCUUUGGAGUUUUCAAACUUAGCGAACUGAAACAUCUGAGUAGCUAAAGGAAGGAAAAUCAACCGAGACCCCGUUAGUAGCGGCGAGCGAGAGCGGAACAAGGGUUUUCAUCAAAAGAAAUCCGAAGCGGUUUCAUUCGAUUUGUUGUGGAUUGGAUGAUGGAAAACCAGCAAGCAGCAAGCGUAGAUAGAAAAUUUGCCGUAGCGCGCCCUACGGAGUUGUACAAAGUCAGCAACCGUUUUGGGGCACAAGCAUAGGCAACAUAGGACUGAUGACGGGGUGGGGCGUGCAGUGAACUGGUUUUCUAAAAAGAUUGGAAGAUCCGGCCAAAGAAGGUGAUUGCCCUGUUCAU